UUUGAAGUUGAUUCGAUUAUAGAAAUGCUAACUUUUCUGUGGCUAGUUGCUGUUAGUCUUAAGAUGAGAUAGUAGAUUUGUCCAAUUGCUUUCAAUAUGUUGUAGAAUGACGGUGUGACAUGUUACUAUGCUCUAUUCUGGAUUGACUUGUUUUUUUUAGAUUUUUAGAAAUUCAUGUGUUGAUAUGAUGAUAGUGUCUCUAUGAGAUUUAUUUGGGAUAUCACCUAGAAUUUGAUCCAGAGACCUUGUGACUUUAGUCACUCUUUUUGAAUAUAAAAAAUGCCUUGCUUUUGAUUGUUUUGAUGCGUUUGCUCAUCUCUUUCCAUUGUAUGCAUUUAGCUAGAAGUUUCCUAAGCUAGGUUUAGAUUAGGACCCCGAAGGUGGAGAAGGUGUAAGGCGUGAAGAUGGUGGAGGUCGAUGUCCACUCCGACCGUUAACAUGUAAUGCUCAUUUUCCCGACAUAUGUCUCGGGUUCCUUGCAUUGUAUAAAACCCGACGAGUUGCGGGUUUCCUUUCUUUCUCGAUUGUUUUCUCUUUUAUAUUCUUUAGAAUUGCAUGAUUAGGUUUACUGUUUUCUAUUGAUUGUUUACUUCAUGUCUUGUGCUUUCAAUUUCAUUGAUUGUUUUCUAUUCUUUUUUUUAGAAAUAGAAUAGAAUGAAAGUAAUCUGCUACGCAUGAUCACUUAGUCUAGGAAUUGAUGAUUCUAAAAAAUGUAAAAAAAAACGCAUGGACAUGUUAGGAAAAACACAACAUACUGUUUAGGUACCGAAAGGGCGUUAAUAGUAAUAUUAGCGUAACCCAAGUCCCCGAACCUGGAUAUCUGGUUGCGUAGGAAUCGAGGGGACACUCCCGACCCUCAAUUGGGUUUCUAGCCGACCCCCAAAGUUGAGGCUAGUGGCGACUCCUGUCUAUUUUUAGGUUAUUAUAAAUAAGUAGAUCGUAUAAAUAAAUCCGUUGUCACGUGGGGUAUGAGUUUCGAUGAAACUCACUAUGGUUUAGCAUACUCGAUGUGGGGGUAGCCCAAAGGAUGAAGUGAUGCCAUCCUAAUGGGUGGAGCGUACUAUCGAGAGGGCUACCAUGGUAAAAGUACCCUUAAAUUUGAUAUCCACAUUCGACUCCCCUUUUUUAGGUGUGUCGCUUAUGUGGGUAUGGAUCGCGACAUUCCGCUGUCACGCGGGGUACGAGCUUGGGAGAGCUCGCGAUCUCGUAGAGGGAACUCAUGAGAGGCUUGAUCCAAAGCAAGCCAUGAGGGAACUCUAGUGAUCAAAGUACCCCUAAACCCGACCUUUCCCAUCCUUGGAUACUAUUUCGAGGGGGCGGCGAGAUCGGGUCGCGACACCACCUAAUCGGGGUUUAGGGUAUAGACUCCCUAAGAUUUUUAUCUCACCCCGUCGUGGGUUACCAUUUUCAAGGCCGUAGCGUGAGGGAUCCAGAGCCCGAGGAUGAAGGGUCCAGAGUGUAGAUGGCCUAGUGGUUUCUUCUUGAGUUAGACCUUCUGUAUAUAAACCGAAUGUGUUUAUAAAGUAUGUUUUGUUUAAAUUAGUCGUCCUGCUUUUCUAUCUCAUAUUUGUUGUUGUCUGGAGAUUGUUUAAUUCGCUUCCGUCUGUGCAAUAAAAUGAAUGGGUUAGCGACACAUCCUAGGAACGUUGCAAUUUGAUCGACCACCGAGGGAUGUACGCACGCUCGAGGUUCGGGGCGUGACAAAAUACCCAUCCUAAUAGUUUCGACGCAUAUCAUUAGUUCAAAAUCCCACUAGCUACAACCUUCCCUUGCAAUGUCACUGCUCUCAAUCCUCAACGAGACAUCUUCAAAAAUUUCCCGUAUUCUCUUCUAGCGAUUGUCGUCCUACCUAUGAGCCAUUCGGAUAGACUGGCAUAAAGGGUAUAUUUGAUUGGACUUUUGAAGAAAGCCUAUAGGAAAAUGCAAAAGAUUUUAAGUUAAAGGGGUUUUUUAAAAUGCAAAUUGUGUUUGUUAAAUUGUAAUAUGAAAAUCUAUUGUUAAGUACAUUUGAGCAAAAUAGCGUUUGGAGAUGUUAUAUUUACAAAAGACUUAUGUAAUUAAAAAAAGAAAAAAUUCAUCAAUAGAAGAAUAAAAAAAUUGACCGAUGAGGGCAAGUAGCCACCGUCGAUUGAAAUCUAUCACCGGCGGCCGACCUAUGAGACUGCAAGACCUCAGGCAGCCCCCAAAAACCAACAGCGAGGGUCGCCUGAGGUUGGGUGACCCCUAGCAAGGGUGCGACCAGGCGAUCGCAACCUCCUUGUGUCCUUGCACAACCUAGUGACCCAAAUCUGGGUAUUGCCCGACAAGGUCAUGCGACCUUUGGUGACCCAGAUUUGGGUCGUCGAAGGUGGGUCAUGCAAUUGGCAACCAAGAUCUAGGUUGCCGGAAUGACUAGGCGACCUCGGCGAGGGCCACCUGGUCGCACGACCUCAAGUGGCCCUUCAUGAAGGUCGUGCGACAGAUUUGGGUUACCGCAACCAUUGCUGAGGGUCGCCCAACCGCCUGCCUUUCGCUGGCAACCACGCGCAGCCAUGCCAGUCCCGUUCAAUGGAGAAGAAGAAGAUGAUGAACAGUAGUAGGUUAGCAUUCAAUGAAGAAAAAGAAGAAGAAGAUGAAGAACAGUAGUAGAUCAGCAUGCUCAAAAGGCAAAAGCUCAAGGCACCCCCUUAGUUGCCUUAGGCUUUCAGCCUUUGGAAGGCUAGCAUUAGGGAACCGAGGUUAAAAAAAUUUUUACCAAACACACUUUAUUUGGCUUAAAGGAUUUUAUAUGCUCAAGGGGCUUUGGGAAUGCCUCUCCCAAACACACCCAAAAUCAUGCGCAGGCCAGGGAUGACGCAUAUUGUAAUAUUUGCCUUGGUGGUUGAAAUGUCAACAAAAAGUGAAAAGAAAAGGCAUGCUCGGCACAAGGAGACCUGAGAACUCAUGCGAGGAAAGGAAGAAAAGAAAGGAAAAAGGGGAAAAGUAAAAGCGUUUUGUGCGUACACGCCAUAGGACCUCUCCAAGCCGAAUCAAUUACGUAUCUCAAUGUCCAAUAAGUGAUUGCGCCCUCUGUUCAUUUAUUCGGAGUAGUUUUUGGAGUUCAUAUAUUAAAAGUUAUGUGAAAANNNNNNNNNNNNNNNNNNNNNNNNNNNNNNNNNNNNNNNNNNNNNNNNNNNNNNNNNNNNNNNNNNNNNNNNNNNNNNNNNNNNNNNNNNNNNNNNNNNNUAAAUUCAAUGGCUAGUGCUAAGAGUCUUCAUCACAGGCAAAAAAGGAUUCUCUAUACAUUUAGCGAGACUCUAGUCUGUUUAUUACUCCACUGCUACUGUAUUACUAUACUCUUCUUCUCUUUAGGCACGUUCUCUUAAGCAUGUGAUCAGCUAGUGGCAUUGCUUGACAAUAUUAGCAGACGUUACAUAAAUGCAUUUCGCACCAACUAAGCUCCAAGUGAUGGUAUCGGUUUGAAAACUUCAAUUGACAUAAUCACCGGCGCAAGCACUGCCUUCCUACCACUGACACUAAUGUAACUGUUCAGAUAGUAGUUCUUACAUCUUCUCAAGAGACUUUCCAAAUGGAUAUAGGAGCCCCUUAAAGGCUAAUCAGCCUCUCAUCUAACUGAGCAAUUCCUAUUGCAACUCAUGAACCUUUUCUAUAAUCAUUCGCUUUCUUUCCCUGCCCUUUAUAAUUAUUCGUUUCAUUUCACGACUUGUGUUUCUUUGCCUUUUUAUGGAAUCAAUUGUGGUUAGACCCAAUUUUUUUUUAUUUUUGUUCUUUUGUUCCUUGUCUUGCUUAUUUGCUUAAAUAUGUGAGGGUCACCCUGUAAUUGCUUGGAAAGAAAUAGUGUCGUCAAAAAGUCUUUCAGUAAGGGGCAAGAUAGGAUGGAAGUUUUCCGAUCGGAGGUUUUACUUUUUCAUCAGCCUAUCAUCAUCAAGAGGGAAGUGACAGAUGGCAUUACGAUUACCAACGACGGACCCAAAACUUAGAAAUCUUCAGUUGGGUAUCCCUACCUUUAUGUAAUCAGAGUCUCUUCAAGUCUUCCAUGUCCUCUUUUCCAAGUCAACUAACGUGUCUAUGGAAUUGCCAAUCAGUCUCUUCAAGUCUUCCGUGUCCUCUUUAUGUAAUCAGAGUCUCUUCAAGUCUUCAGUUGGGUGUCCCUACUUUUAUCAUUGUGCAGGAAUUGCCAAUAAGAAGGCCUUCCCUUCAAGUUCAAAGCUGCUGCAUUGUAGAGCAUCAAUGGGAAACGGAAAAUCUUCCUCUGUCGUUUGAAGCCUGGAAACCCCGUGUAAAGUGUCAGGAUGGUCAUGGUUCUAUGAUGUGCUCAUGCGCAAGUGCUACUUCACAUUGGGUUGCACAUCUUGCUCAAAGCGAGGGCCAUGAUGCCCUCAUUAGAUGUUCCCAGUGUUAUAUUGAGGUGAGGCAAAGGCAAGGGUGUCGUGGCCCUCACUUGCGGCUGGCUUCAAAGAACUAGUGGGGAAAUAAGAAAAAAGAGAAAAACAAGAAAAGGAAAGUCAAGGAAAGGAAAAAAAAUAACAAAUUUUAAAAUUUUUUAAAAAAUUACAAAAAUCAUUCACAUUUGUGUCAAUUAUGUCACAUAAAACGGUUAACAUUGACUAGACCGUCAUUUUACCCAUUUUUCCACCAUAAUCGACUGUAUGGACUUUAUUAAAAAAUCGUUGUAAGGUUGAAGACUAAAAUAACGAAAUUGAAAAUUUUAAGUUUGAAAUAGCCAUAUACAAGGAAAUUUUGACAAUUAUCCGCCAACAAAAUUGACGAACAUGCCAAAGUCAAUCAUUUCAAGACACAAGGCGGACACUUUCAAGAUUGAGCUGUGGAGGUUAAAUCAGCACCCUUGCUUAUUGAUAUGUUAAGUGGAACGAAAGGCUAAAAGUAUAUAUCGUGUACUUGGUAUGUCACGGCACCUAAAGUUUUCUUUUAGGUGUGAUUUAAUUCGCACAUUACGUUGCACUUGCUGUGGCUACAUUUUAAAUCUUGUUUUCUUUGCUUUUGUUUGUUACUCUUUUUUUUUUUUUUGGUGGGUCAUAUAUAUGUUUUUUUUUUUGGUCAAUAUAUGUUGUUCUAUUUGAGACGUUAACUAUUUUCCCAAUGAAAGCUCUUAGUAUGCACUGGUUGGUCAGACGAAAUAAGAAUAUUGCCUGAUAAUGUUCAUCAUAUGAGGAAAAGAAUCUAAACUUUGACCAAGUAUGGAAAUUUAAAAGCUUGACGAAUGACUGAAAUGUAAACAAGAGGCAUCCCAGUCAAAUUGAGCUUCCAUGUCAGGAAUUUAUGAAUUGAAUAAACAAGUCCUGCUGUAGCAUUUACAUGUCGUUGUUCUCCUUCCAUACAGGCUUGUCAGUUCUCAAUCUAUCCAUUUUUAUCGAAGUCCACCAUGACUUCUGCAAAGUUUGACUAGUAGCUUGAAGCUCUAGUUUUUCUUCAUCUUGGUUUCACCGGCAUUGUCUACUUGCGUGCAUGACAAACAGUGGAGGCCUGUCUAUAAGCUAAAGGCUAAGAGCUACACAGUGGUUCAAGUCCUAUGAGAGCCACCUCUAGAGUCUUAUACUAUUGAUAUACAUUGGGCAAGGACUAACAACAACUUCGUGGAAGCCACCUUUAUAGCCUUGUACUAUUAAUAUGUGCUGAUCAAUGGCUAAGUGCUAUGGUGAUGUGAUUCUCAUGAGAGUUACUUCUAGGGCUUUGUACUACUUAAGGGCUAAGUGUUACAUAAUAACAUAAACUUCAUUGAAGCCACCUUUAGGACUUUGAGAUGUGGUAUCAUACGAGUUUAGACAAUGGAAUGGACAAUUGACACGUUUUUUUUAUAGAUAUUAAUCAAUAAACUUGACCAUUGAUAUAUGUAUUUUAAUUAUAGAUUUAAAUGAGUAUUUCCAAUUUAUAUAAAGUUUGUUGAAAUGAAACAACUCAUAUAUGAUUUGAUAUAUAAAUAUAUAUAUAUUGGUUACUUGAUCUGUUUAGCAUUAAGAUAUGGUUGCCCAUCCCUUUCCUUCCCAAUCUUUUCAGGCUCCUCAAUUAGCGGUGAUGGUACAAGAGGGCUUUCGAUAAAGACCGUGUCCUUUCAGUGAAAGGAUGACCAUGUUAUAUCCCUAUCACUGUAGAAUUCGAGAUAUAACAUCUUUUGAUCUUUUGAUAUUAGAGCAGCACCCCUCUAGUAGUAAGUGUAUGAUUCCGAACAAACCAUGCGAAAGCUGGUAGGUUUGUAAUAGCCUGAUCCGACAAGGGCAAGGAAUAGUCAACGAGGCUAAGGGGUUUAGACAAUGAGCGGUUAAUAGUAGGCUUCUAGGAUGGCAAAAAUGACAUAAAUGAACCAAAUUGUACAUCAAACAAGAGGAGAGCAAAACUGAAAUUAACUCAUGAAGGUGUCUUUAAACAUAACGACAAGUUUUGCUUUAGAACUCCAAAGUUAAGCAAGUCCAGGUUAGAGUAAUAUUAAGAUGAGUGAUCUCCUGUGACAAUCUCUACCCAAAGUACAAAAACGUGAGGCGUGCCAAAGCAAACGAUACCUUAUCUGAGUUAAUAUAAGGAUGUCACACAAUUAUGAACAUACGCACGCCACAGCCUCCACAAACAUCGAGAACAAAGAAAGGCGCACAACCAGAUAAAAGGAUGUGAUGAACAAACCGGGAAAAUUGAUCUUAAAAAUUGACCCUCAGACCAUCGAUUUUUGAGCGGUUCCUCGCCAAUGAAUAUCAUUAAACGAAGAUGUAUAAACACCUAGCAAACACUAUCAAAAAGAAAUUGUUUAGAUAUGGUCCCGUGGAGAUAAAAUGCGGUAGAAAACAUGGACAAAAAGUUGUGAUCAUGUAUGACAUGUCAUUAUACAGUCAAAACAGGUCAGGAUCAAGGACUAAUCCAUACAGACUCAGUCUGGUUAUUUUGUCGUUAAGAUAUGGUGCGCGGUUAUCUGGUGGGCAGUUUAGUUGCUAAGUUUAUAUGAGUUUAGGGUAACGGUUCAUUUCAUUCCAUUACAAUAAGCGCUAAUAUAAAUCAUCACCUCAGCCUCGAUCGUAUCAGAUUUUAGAUUGACACUGUAUGAAGUCUUAGUUACUGUUUUCAUUCUAAAACUAUGACCUGUAGGAACAAUUAUUGAACACACCUUCAUCAAGCUUAAUUUCUAUCUCCCAACAGUGAGAAAAUCCAAGCAAGGACUUUUCCAGAAAUUUGACCACUGAGGAUCGGAACUUAAAUUGAAGAUAUAAACGCGAGAUAGCUUCCACGAAUUUCCCGGCCGUGGAACAGGGAGAAGCAGAGCAGGAAAGGCGCAAAUCCGGAAUGCCCAGAAACGACAGGCGACGAAGGCUAAUAACGUCAGGAGAGUAGUUGUGAAGAAAUUCGCAGCGGUAGCAGGCAGCGAGAAGAAGGACGGGCAUUUCCCUUCUUUUACUUAAUUGGGCCAACAAAAUGAAUUCCACACUAGGCAGUAGGCAUUAUCAUGAGUUUCAAUUAGACUUUUUUCUCGUGGGUUCCCUCGCAGACUGCAAACUUUUCGGGCAAAGUGAUAGCUGUGAAUGGGCCUCAACUGAGAAUAUUGGGUAGAAUACCUUGCCAAGGUUUCAGAGGCUUGGAACUAAUAAGCCCAAGUGCUGAACCUAAUAAGUGGACAGCACUAAAUUAUAAUUUUUAUACGAUGCUCACUUAAAUAUUAUAAUUUAUUUCCGAUAACUUAGGUGACAUGACUUUUUAAAAAAUAAUUUUGAUCGAUUACUUGAAUGCUAAAACUUUUAAAAAUUUUGAUCUAAGUAUUGGAAAUUUGCCGUAGAACGUUUUCGCAAUUAAGUUCUAAAAAAUUCACCAUAACUUUUGAUUAAUCACUUGAGUGCUAAAAAUUUAAAAAAAAAAAAUGUUCACCCAAAUGCCAGAAAUCUGAUGUGGCAUAGCACGUGAUGAACGUUUUUAAAAAUUUUAAACAUUCAAGUAAUCGAUAAAAAAAAAAGUUAUAUGAUACUUAAGUGAUAAAAAAAAAAAGAAAUUAAGUGAGUGAUAUAUAUAAAUUAUAACACUCAAGUGAUCCAAAAAAAAAAAAACUUAUAACACUCAAAUGAGCCCAUUAAUAGUACAUUUUUCCAUCUUCUUAUCCGCUUUCCACUUGUUAUGUAUUUUAUUUAUUUAUUUAUUUAUUUAUUUUUGUUAUUAUCUGGCUAAUUUUUACUUUUGUACUUUUUACAAGAAUGAAUAUUUGAGUUGUUGACUAAACUUUAGAUGCCAACAAAACCCUCUCAAGAAACUUUCUUGCGUAAGCCAACGGCAUUUGUUACUCAUGCUUGUUGUACUUAGGAUUUUCCUUUUUGGAAUUUCUCACUAGUUGCCGUCACGGACUCCUCCUGCUGCAUCUUUGAAGAAAAUUCUCCAACAGAGACGCCUAAUUGUCAAAGACCUACUGAUUUUGUUUUUUUCUUAAUUUGCUUAUUUGGUUUAAUCUUAAUAAGCAAACAGGUAAUAAAAGUUUCUGUUUUUUUUUACCCAUCAAUCCUCUUGUAAAGGAUCCAACUUGAGGAGAUGCAUGAAAAAAAAGUCAACUCUUGGAAUGACUUGUCAAUGGGGGUAAGAUUUGUUCAAGUUCACUAAGUCCUACACAUUUCGCCAACCUAUCAUCAUUAAAGAGGCAAAGUGAUGGACGGCAUUGCUCCCUUGAAUGUCUCUUCCUGACUCUUCUCAAAAGUCUUUUGGUGUAGUCUUCCUGUCUUCUUACCAAGUCAACUGCCGUGUUUAAGCAGCUGAUCUUACUUGACUAGUCAAAAGAAUUGCCAAUAACAAGGGCUUUUCGUUUCACUUUCAUAUGAGGAAUCAAACUACUUUCCUUUCUUUUUUCUUCUUCUUCUUCUUCAUACUAUUCCAUUCCGUUCUUUAGCUUUGAUUUCAAAAAUUAAAAGGAAAGAAAAUUCUCAUUUCUAAACUAGAACCUUAUUGAAAUCCUGGGAUGGGUCUACACCGUGCUUCCGCACAAGAGGUAAUUUGCAUUGCAUUGCACAUCUUCUUCAUUGCCAUCUUAGAAGAUCAUGUCGAGUCAUCAUCAUAUGAAGCUUGCGAACCCCGCAACUGUGGCACUGAUGAUUUCAACAUAAGCUAUCCUUCUAUAUUCUUGGAGAAGGAAGUAAUUUAUGCGGUUACCCUGGAUUUGAGAUCACUUGUCAAGAAAAAAGGGCUACGUAUGGGAGCUACGCAGUUAAAAGCAUCUCCUACAACGAGAGUUCCAUCGAAUUAGUAAGCCCAAGGGAUACUUCCUGCUUUGCUCCUCUCUCCUCCCCCUUGCUUCCCGAUAACGUUUUCCUAGAGGACAGUGUUUCCCGUCAUCCUAUACUUUUUUUCUUCUAUAACUGCACCGACCCUUCUUUUCCCUUCAAUACAUUCUCUGUGAAUUGUACUUCUAACGCCACAUACAACACCUCUGUUGCGUUGAUUCCAAACUCCACCUUCUAUCGACAAGGUGGAUCCUGCCGGUCAUUAGCAGAGGUACCAGUACAACUGGAGGAGAAUUUCUCGAAUCAAACUAUCAAAGAUGUCGACUAUAGGGAGUUGUUGCACAAAGGGUUCCAGUUAAAGUGGGACUUAUCAACCAGUUGUACUGGUUGUGAAAAAAGUGGAGGCCGAUGUGGACGAUCACAAGACACAAACUUUCUGUGCUAUUGCCCAAAUGGAACCAGUCAUCCCUCGAUCUGCAACAGUGGCGGUAUGAGCUUACGGAAAAAAGGGGCUCUUGGUAAGUAGGAAAUCAAAUUUCUUAUGAGUACUUACGAAUUAAAAUGCAGACAUUUGGACAGUAUUAAGUAGGACUAUUAAAACCCCAGGAAAAUGAUUAUCUCUAAUUAUGCUUUGUAUGUCCUUUGGUUACACAGGUGCAUCAAUCAGUGCAUUUGGUGUCGCUACUAUAGUCCUAGCCUAUCUUUGUCAACGCAAAAUUUCCAAGCAGAAAUCCAUGAUCAUAGGGAGCAGAAAGAUGAAAUUUCAGGUCAAAUUCGAAAAUCGUGGAAUUCUCGUAACGACAAGGUAUUCUUACAUUGACAUUAAGACAAUGACCAACUCAUUCAAAGAAAAACUAGGCGAGGGAGGCUAUGGGUGUGUGUACAAAGGGAAGCUCCCAGAUGGACAUCUUGUGGCUGUGAAAAUCCUAAGCAAGCUAAAAGGAGAUGGUGAAGACUUCAUCAAUGACGUAAACAGUAUGAGCAGAACUUCUCAUGUCAACAUUGUUAAACUACUAGGUUUCUGCUUUCACAAAACGAAAAGGGCCUUUGUCUAUGAAUACAUGCACAACGGAUCUCUGGAAAAACUCAUAUACGAAGAGAACUACUUCAAGCUAGGUUGCAGCCACCUCGGAUGGGACACCUUGCACCAAAUCUCUCUAGGCAUAGCUCAAGGGCUUGAAUACUUGCACAAAGGCUGCAACUCAAGAAUAUUACACUUCGACAUAAAGCCGCACAACAUUCUUCUCGAUGAAAACUAUUGCCCCAAGAUUUCUGACUUUGGCCUUGCGAAGAUAUGCCAUCAAGAGAAGAGCACAAUCUCACUACUUGGCGCACGAGGGACUGCGGGGUUUAUCGCUCCAGAAGUAUUUUGCAGGAACAUUGGAGGAAUAUCCCAAAAAUCUGAUGUGUAUAGCUUUGGGAUGACAAUGCUCGAAAUGGUUGGUGGAAGGAAAAAUAUAAAGACCGGAGUAGAGAGAACAAGUGAAAUAUACUUCCCGCAUUGGAUUCACAAGCGUCUUGAACUUCAAGAAGAGUUAGGACUGCAGAAUGUCACAAGUGAAGGAGACAAAGAGAAAGCUGAGAAGAUGGUAAUAGUGGGCUUGUGGUGCAUACAGACUAAUCCUUCAAUUAGGCCAACAAUGAGUGAGGUGGUGGAUAUGCUAAGAGGCGGUGUUGACUGUUUGAGAGUUCCUCCCAAGCCCUAUUUGUCUUCUCCAUCAAGAUCAUCAGCAACCACUUCAAUGUCCAUGGCCGUGUGAAAUUUAAGAUCGUGCUAUAAGCACAUCUAGCCUUUCAACGCAAUGAAACAACUUGUGUAUCAAGAUACGUGAGAAUACUUCCGAAAAUUUUCUUGUAUUUGUUGAACGUGUGGUGAUGCCAAUGCUAAAGCCGAUAGAAGUUAUAUAAAGCCACGUCAUUACUUGUAGAAAGCAUCUUAACACGAAUUUGCAUCUUACGCAGCUAAAUUAACAUGAUGGCAAGGCCACCUAGAAUUGAUUAUAUUUUUAAUUUCACUGGUUUCUGGUUUAUGUUACAAACUUACUAGUUUGAUAACUAUUUUUCCACGAUCAUCUUGAUUUAAUAACCGAAUCACAACAAAUGAGCAACGUCAAGACUAUAUAAACAUGUGUGUUUCUUCUUGAAACAAAUUAUCAACACAUCAACAUAAUGGGAAAAGUGUCCAAAAAGUCUUAAACCUAUUGUAUGCCGGUCAAUUCGGUCCUCUCUUUUCAAUUUUGCCAAUUUAAUGCUAAACAUUAUGAUAAUUUUCCAAUGUAGUUCAUCUAGUCAAUUUUGAUUAAAAAUUACUGAAAUUGCAGUCUUAUCAAGAUAUCCAUUGCUAACAUAGACGGGUUUUUUUUUUCCUUUUCUUUUUUUUUUGUUUCUACGUUAGUCGAUGGCUAUAGGUGAAAGCCAUAAUGCCCUCACCAUAUGUUCCCAACAUUAUAUUGGGGCGAGGGCAAGGGCAAGGUUGUUGCGGUCAUCACCCGUGGUUGGCGAUCGGCAGCCGGUGGGAAAAUAAAAAAGAAAACAAGAAAAGCAAAGAAAAGAAAGGGACAAAAAGAACAAAUUCUGAAAAUUUAAUACAAUCAUAAGAAUUGUUCAUAUUUGUGCCGACUGUGUCUCAUAAAACAACUAACAUUGAUUGGACUAUUAUGUUAGUGAUUUUUCGGUCAAAAUUAGUUUGAUGGACUAUAUUAUAAAAUCAUCAAAAAAAUUUAAACUAAAUCGACAAAAUUGAAAAUUUUAAGUUUGAAUUGGCUACGUACAAGGAAUUUUUUUGACAAUUAUCCGGUGACAAAAUAGACUGAUUAUGCCAAAGUCAAUCAUUCCAAGACGAGGAGGUGGACACUUUCAAGAAAGAGCUGUGGAGGUUGGAUUAGCACCCGUGCUUGUUGAUAGAUUAAGUGGAACGGAAGGCUUGAAGUAUCUAUUGUCUACUUGGUAUGUCACGGCACCUAAAGUUUUCUUAUAGCCGUAAUCACUUCGCACGUUACAUUGCAGCUGCGGUGACUACAUUCUAAAUCUUUUGUUUUUCCCCUUUGCUCUUAUUUGUUUCUCUAUUUGAGACGUCGGAUAUUUUCCUGAGAAAAUCUCUUGUGAGCACUGGUUUUCCGAGAGAAAUAAGAAUAUAGCCUAAUAACGUGGUGGGCACUUCAGUUGCCAAGUUUAUACAUGAGUAAAAGAAUCUGAACUUUGACCAAGUAUGGAAAUCAAAUGACGGACUCAAAACAGGUCGGGAUCAAGGACUAAUCUAUGCGGACUCAACUUGGGCAUUUUGUCAAACAUGUGGUGGGCACUUCGGUUCCUUACUUUAUAUAUGAGUUUGCAGUAACGAUUCACGUCAGUCCAUCACAAUAAGAGCUAACAUAGAAUAUCAACUCAACAUCGAUCAUUUCAGACUUAAGAUUGACGAUGUAUGAAGUCUCAGUUCCUGUUUUCAUUAUAAAACUAUGACCGAGAGUAACAAAUAUUGAACUCACAUUCAUCAAGCUUAAUUUCUAGCUCCGAAUAGUGAGAAAUUCCAAGCAACGAUGUUUCAGAAACGUCACCACUGAGAUCGCAAGAAUUAAACACAAGAUAACUUAUAUGGCUAAGGUUUACCCAAAAAGAAAACCUCCUUUGUUUGUCUCUUUUUCAUUUGUCAUUUAUUUAAUUAUUUAAUUUUGUUAUUAUAUUGAUAUUUUUAAUUUUUGCACUUUUACAAGAAGGAAUACUUGAAGAUUUUUGUUAGCAUAACAGUUUUUUGCCUACUGUAAAAGUAAUAUAGCAUGUUGUGAGUUACACAUUUUUUAAGAAGUGGAUGCGACAAUAACUUCUAAUUUUUUUUAACUAACUCAAAUUAAUUUUCAAAUAGAGAGCUUCAGUUGUCAAAGACCCGCUGAUUCUUUUUCUUGAACUUAUUUUCCUAAUUUUGCUUAUUUGGUUUGAUUUUAAUGAGCAUGAUAGGAGAUAAAAGUUUAUGGGUCUUUAAUUUUUUUUAAUUACCCUCUUGUAAAGGAUCCAACUUGAGCGUACAUGUGAAAAUAGGAGUCAACUCUUGGAAAAACUUGUCAAUUGGGGCAAGAUUUGUGCAAGUUCGCUAAUUGUGGGUCUACAAAUUUCACUGACCUAUCAUCAUCAGAGACGUAAAGUGAUGGAUGACAUUGUUCCCUUGAGGGUCUCUACCUAGCUCUUCUCAAAAGUCUCUUGUUCUAGUCUUCCUGUCCCCUUUCCAAGUCAACUGCCGUAUUUAAGCAGCUGCUCUCACAAGACUAGUAGAAGGGAUUGCGAAUAACAAGGGCCUUCUUUUCACUUGAGCGUGACAAGAGAUAAAAGUUUUUGGGUCUUUAAUUUUUUGAAUUACCCUCUCGUAGAGGAUCCAACUUGAGCGUACAUGUGAAAAUAGGAGUCAACUCUUGGAAAAACUUGUCAAUUGGGGCAAGAUUUGUGCAAGUUCGCUAAUUGCAGGUCUACAAAUUUCACCGACCUAUCAUCAUCAAAGACGUAAAGUGAUGGAUGACAUUGCUCCCUUGAANNNNNNNNNNNNNNNNNNNNNNNNNNNNNNNNNNNNNNNNNNNNNNNNNNNNNNNNNNNNNNNNNNNNNNNNNNNNNNNNNNNNNNNNNNNNNNNNNNNNUUUUUUAAAAUUUUAAUUUUUAAAUAUUUUAACUAAAUUUAAUUUAUUUUUAAUUUUUUUACCACGUCAGCCAAAAACUAUGUCGUUUUUGCAUUAUUUGGCAACGUCAGUGUGCAAAACAACGUCGUUUUGAGCGCGCUUCGCCGGAAAAAUGCCACGUCGGCGUUUUGGCCAGACUUUGGCCGGAGUAGCACUCAAGUGAUCCGUUUUUCUUCGAAUGUGGCACUUAAGUGUAUCUUUCAUAAGUUAUGGCACUUAAGUGUCCCUUUGGGCAAAUGGCACUUGAAGCGUUCUUUUGUCGAAUUUUGCAGUUACCCAAGAUUUGAGAUCUCUUGUAAUGGAACAAAAACUACGUAUGCUCACCACUCAAUUAAAAGCAUUUCCUAUAAUGAGAGCUUGGUCGAUUUAGCAAUCCAACGGGAUACUUCUUGCUUUGCUCCUGGUUUCUUCGCUUUCACUCCCAUAAACAUCUUCCUAAGCAAAAGUUUCUCUCUUCAUCCUAUACUCUCGUUCUUCCUUAACCGCACUGAAUCUUCUUCUUUUCCCUUCCCAACAUCCCCAUGAGUUGUACUUCUAACGCCACGAACAACCUUUUGUUGUGUUACUUCCAGAUGGCACCUUCCAACAUCAUAGUGAAUCCCGUGGGUCAUUUUCAGUUCAGUGGUACCAGUACAACUGGAGGGAGGUGUUUCAAAUCAAACUAUCAGAUGUCGACUAUGUGGAGUUGUUGAAGAAUAGGUUCUGGUUAAAAUGGGAUUUAUUAACUGACAAGAGUUGUACAGGUCGUCAAGAAAGUGGAGGCCGAUGUGGACGAUCACGAGAGAGAGGCUUUCUGUGCUAUUGCCCACAUGGAACCAAUCAUCCUAGGGACUGCAACAGUGGCGGAAGUAAAGAUUUUAGAAUUAGGAAUUAACGGCCAUGCAAUAAGUUCCUCAUAAAUUAUUUUCUUCCCUGAACAGAAUGUGGUUAUUAUGAUGAUACGAAUCUUCCAACUGUCAGCGGGAAGGCGCACGCUGAGCUUCAUAAGUUGUAUCAUCUCCUCUUUCCAAUAAAAUUUUCCAUUGCUUUUAUGUCGCAGGGAAAGGGAAAGCUAGGAGCUUACUGCAGCAAGGUGCUCUAAGUAGUAAAUCAAAUUUCUUACGCGUGCUAACGAAUUAAAAUGAAGAUAUUUGGACAAUAUUUAACAUAAGGUAGGGCUACUAAAAACCCAAGGAAAAUGAUUGCUCUAUCUAUGCUUUUUACGUCCUUUGGUUACACAGGUGCAUCAAUCUGUGCAUUUGGUGUCGCUAUGAUAGUCCUAGCCUAUCUUCGUCAAUAGAAAAUUUCCAAUCCGAAAUCCAUUAUCACAAGGAGCAGAAAGAUGAAUAACGGUCAUAAAUUUGAGAUAAUUUUCAAAAAUUGUAUAAUGCUGAAAUUAAGAGAAUGACCAAUUCAUUCAAAGAAAAACUAGGCUAGGGAAACUAUGGCUGUGUUUACAAAGGGAAGCUCCCCGAUGGUCAUCUCAUGGUAGUGAAAAUCCUAAGCAAGCUAAAAGAAGAUGGUGAAGACUUCAUCAAUGAGGUAAACAACAUGAGCAUAACUUCCCAUGUCAACAUUGUUAAUAUGCUAGAUUUCUGCUUUCACAAAACCAAAAGGGCUCUUGUCUAUGAUUACAUGCCUAGUGGAUCUCUAGAGAAACUCAUAUACGAAGAGAACUACAACAAGCUAGGUCGCCGCCAUCUUGGAUGGGAGACCUUGUACCAAAUCUUUCUAGGCAUAACUCAAGGGCUCAAAUACUUGCACCAAGGCUGCAACUUGAGAAUAUUACCCUUCGACAUAAAGCUGCACAACAUUCUUCUUGAUGAGAACCAUUGCCCCAAGAUUUUGACUUUGGCCCUGCAAAGAUAUGCCAUCAAGAGGAGAGCACGAUCUCACUACUUGGCAUGUGAAGGACUGCGGGGUUUAUCGUGCUAGAAGUUUUUUGCAGGAACGUUGGAGGAAUAACCCAAAAAUCAUAUGUGUAUACCUUUGGGAUGAUAGUGCUCGGAAUGGUUGGUGGGAGGAAAAAUAUAGUGACCGGAGUAGAGAGAACUGAUGGAAUAGACUUCCCGCAUUGGAUACAUAAGCAUCUGUAACUUCAAGAAGAGAUUGGACUGUAGAAUGUCACAAGUGAAGGAGAUGGAGAAAAAGCUAGGAAAAUGGUAAUGAUGAGCUUGUGCUGCGUAUAGACUAAUCCGUCAAUCAGGCCAACAACAAGUGAGGUGGUGGAUAUACUAAGAGGCAGUGUUGACUACUUGCCAGUUCCUCCCAAGCCUUAUCUAUCUUCUCCAUCAAGAUCAUCACCAACCACUUCAAUGUCCAUGGUUUUGUAAAACGCGAGUUCAUCCUUGUAGCACAUCUAGCCUUUUAAUCCAAUGAGCAACUUGCAUACAAAGAUAAUUAGCUAAGAAUAUGUUCGCAAUUUUUCUUAUCUUAUAUUUUGAAUGGAGUGCCGAAUACCUAGAGUGCUAAAACUUGACACAGAGAGACACUUAAGUGUCAAAAGUUAGGAGAGUGAUACUUAAGUGCCAAAAUCGGAACAAAAUGAAUCACUUAAGUGCCAAUGGCGAGAAAAUCCAAUCAAAAUGCCGACAUGAUGAUUUUUCGGCGAAGCAAGUAUAAAACGUCAUCGUUUUGCACACUGACGUGACUAGACAAAUGCAAAAAUGAUGUCAUUUUGCUACUGAUAAGUUAAAUAAUUAAUAUAAAAGCCAAUUAAAUUAAAUUUAAAACUAAAUUUAUUUGAGAGAGAGAGAGAGAGAGGGAGAGAGAGAGAGAGAGAGAGAGAGAGAGAGAGAGAGAGAUGCAGAUUGCAAGCGGUGAGGCCCUCGCCGCCGCCUCCCCGCCGUCUUUGAGAAGGGCCAACAAUGGUGGGGGGAGGGUCGACCCUGGUCACCAGGCCCUAGCCAUGGAGGCGAGGGCUGGUGAGCCCUCACCCAGAUCUAGGGCGAGGGUUGGGGUCCUUCCCCAGAUCCAGCGAGGGGGGGGGACCGUCGCUCGGCGGGGGCCAAGAGGCAUUGCCCACUGGGGGGGNNNNNNNNNNNNNNNNNNNNNNNNNNNNNNNNNNNNNNNNNNNNNNNNNNNNNNNNNNNNNNNNNNNNNNNNNNNNNNNNNNNNNNNNNNNNNNNNNNNNNNNNNNNNNNNNNNNNNNNNNNNNNNNNNNNNNNNNNNNNNNNNNNNNNNNNNNNNNNNNNNNNNNNNNNNNNNNNNNNNNNNNNNNNNNNNNNNNNNNNNNNNNNNNNNNNNNNNNNNNNNNNNNNNNNNNNNNNNNNNNNNNNNNNNNNNNNNNNNNNNNNNNNNNNNNNNNNNNNNNNNNNNNNNNNNNNNNNNNNNNNNNNNNNNNNNNNNNNNNNNNNNNNNNNNNNNNNNNNNNNNNNNNNNNNNNNNNNNNNNNNNNNNNNNNNNNNNNNNNNNNNNNNNNNNNNNNNNNNNNNNNNNNNNNNNNNNNNNNNNNNNNNNNNNNNNNNNNNNNNNNNNNNNNNNNNNNNNNNNNNNNNNNNNNNNNNNNNNNNNNNNNNNNNNNNNNNNNNNNNNNNNNNNNNNNNNNNNNNNNNNNNNNNNNNNNNNNNNNNNNNNNNNNNNNNNNNNNNNNNNNNNNNNNNNNNNNNNNNNNNNNNNNNNNNNNNNNNNNNNNNNNNNNNNNNNNNNNNNNNNNNNNNNNNNNNNNNNNNNNNNNNNNNNNNNNNNNNNNNNNNNNNNNNNNNNNNNNNNNNNNNNNNNNNNNNNNNNNNNNNNNNNNNNNNNNNNNNNNNNNNNNNNNNNNNNNNNNNNNNNNNNNNNNNNNNNNNNNNNNNNNNNNNNNNNNNNNNNNNNNNNNNNNNNNNNNNNNNNNNNNNNNNNNNNNNNNNNNNNNNNNNNNNNNNNNNNNNNNNNNNNNNNNNNNNNNNNNNNNNNNNNNNNNNNNNNNNNNNNNNNNNNNNNNNNNNNNNNNNNNNNNNNNNNNNNNNNNNNNNNNNNNNNNNNNNNNNNNNNNNNNNNNNNNNNNNNNNNNNNNNNNNNNNNNNNNNNNNNNNNNNNNNNNNNNNNNNNNNNNNNNNNNNNNNNNNNNNNNNNNNNNNNNNNNNNNNNNNNNNNNNNNNNNNNNNNNNNNNNNNNNNNNNNNNNNNNNNNNNNNNNNNNNNNNNNNNNNNNNNNNNNNNNNNNNNNNNNNNNNNNNNNNNNNNNNNNNNNNNNNNNNNNNNNNNNNNNNNNNNNNNNNNNNNNNNNNNNNNNNNNNNNNNNNNNNNNNNNNNNNNNNNNNNNNNNNNNNNNNNNNNNNNNNNNNNNNNNNNNNNNNNNNNNNNNNNNNNNNNNNNNNNNNNNNNNNNNNNNNNNNNNNNNNNNNNNNNNNNNNNNNNNNNNNNNNNNNNNNNNNNNNNNNNNNNNNNNNNNNNNNNNNNNNNNNNNNNNNNNNNNNNNNNNNNNNNNNNNNNNNNNNNNNNNNNNNNNNNNNNNNNNNNNNNNNNNNNNNNNNNNNNNNNNNNNNNNNNNNNNNNNNNNNNNNNNNNNNNNNNNNNNNNNNNNNNNNNNNNNNNNNNNNNNNNNNNNNNNNNNNNNNNNNNNNNNNNNNNNNNNNNNNNNNNNNNNNNNNNNNNNNNNNNNNNNNNNNNNNNNNNNNNNNNNNNNNNNNNNNNNNNNNNNNNNNNNNNNNNNNNNNNNNNNNNNNNNNNNNNNNNNNNNNNNNNNNNNNNNNNNNNNNNNNNNNNNNNNNNNNNNNNNNNNNNNNNNNNNNNNNNNNNNNNNNNNNNNNNNNNNNNNNNNNNNNNNNNNNNNNNNNNNNNNNNNNNNNNNNNNNNNNNNNNNNNNNNNNNNNNNNNNNNNNNNNNNNNNNNNNNNNNNNNNNNNNNNNNNNNNNNNNNNNNNNNNNNNNNNNNNNNNNNNAACUUUAGGAUGGCCAAAGAAAGAACUGCUUCAAUUGACAAUGGAAGGUUAUGAUGCACUAUUCCAAACAAAACCGAAGUAUUGGUGUAGAGCGUUCUUCAGCGAGGAAUUCAAGUGCGAUAACAUAAAUAACAACAUCUGCGAAGCAUUCAAUGGGAGGAUAUAGAUGCCAAAUGCAAACCAAUUAUCUCGAUGCUUGAAGACAUAAGGGUUAUGGUUAUGACUCGGCUACACAAACAAAUGGAUGAGGCUGCAAACUGGACUAGGCAAUGUGGUCCUAGGAUUGCUAAAAAAUUGGAUGAGAACUUGGUUGUGAGUAGGUAUUGUCAUCCCAUUUGGAAUGGGGAUGAAGGAUAUGAGAUAAUGAAGGGCUCUGAUAAGUAUAUUGUCUAUUUAGGUACGAUGAGGUGUUUAUGUAGAGCAUGGCAAGUAAGAGGAAUUCCUUAUGCACAUACCAUAUGUGUUAUUCAAUUGAAGGGCCACAACACAGAAGACUACCUUGAUGAUUGGUACAAGAAACCGAGAUAUCUUGCUUUGUACCAAUGCAUGUUGCAGCCAAUCAGAGGUACCAAGUUUUGGGAGCCAACAGAUCACGAAGCACCUCAACCUUUGCCACUAAAAAAGAGAAUGGGAAAACCAAAGCGAAAAUAAAGAAUGACAAAGGGAGAGGUCUCAAGUCAGCGUAGGAUGAGUAGGAUAGGUGUAAAGAUGAAGUGCUCUUUUUGCCACAUAGCAAGGCACAAUACUAAAGGCUGUCAAUUAAGGAAGCAGCAGGAACAAUUUAGGCCAAUCGAAGGGCCUAGUGAAGGGACAAUUGGAGAAGGACAAAGAGAAAUGCAAAGUGAGUCGUUUGUUCUUCAGUUGACAACAAUAAACCCAGUAAGUCAUGACAAUUGUGUUUAUGUUGUUUUAUGGUUUGUAUAAAUAGAUAUGUACAGCUAAUUGACAUAAUGUUUUUGUCUUUGUUAGGUCAGGAGAAUGACACGUGAAGAAUUGGUCAAAGCCCCUGCUAUACCUGAAACUGAAGGGUCUAUUCAAACAAGGCCAGGUAGACAGCAAGCUCAAGGAUUGGCCGAAGCAACUGGAGGGCCAGUUAAGUCGACCGUUCUUCAGCAGAAGCAGAGAAAAAAAAUACCCGGUAACUUAAAUAAUUUGUGUUUAGUUUUCAUUUACAAUGGCCUGAUGUUAUAUUUAUGAUGUUCUUUGUCUUUUUCUCAGGUUUGAAGAAAGCAAGCUAGAGCUCAGCUAUCAACAGAGGGCCCAACUGAAGGGUCACCACAAGAUCNNNNNNNNNNNNNNNNNNNNNNNNNNNNNNNNNNNNNNNNNNNNNNNNNNNNNNNNNNNNNNNNNNNNNNNNNNNNNNNNNNNNNNNNNNNNNNNNNNNNNNNNNNNNNNNNNNNNNNNNNNNNNNNNNNNNCUACAAGAAGGCCAUCUACAAGACGUCUAGCGUUCGAAUGCCCAGAAGAAGCCUGCUAUAGCUGAACAGCCACAACAAGAGCCCAAGAAAUCACAUGCGAGAAGAAGGGCUAACCAAUCACAAGUACCUGAAAUUGAUGUUCCCCUUCGAACAAGAGGAGCUUUUGGAAAGAGGCUAAAACAGUAUGGUUAUGGACUUUAUACAUAUGAGUGUUCUGGAACAGUUAUUCUUAAUGUAAGUUUUAUAAGCUUACUACGCUGUAUUUAAUUUAAUUUAUGGUGCAAACUUUUGUUAAUAAUUGAGUUUUCUUUUUGAAGCCUAGGAGAAGUUCAGAGGUUCUUAUCUCUCAAGACCCAACUCAAGAAUCAACGGCUGCGCCAACAAGAAAGAAGAGUAAGAAGAACCCAAUUACAGGUCCAUCUGAAUCAGUUCGGCCUAUAAUAGUUGCAGCUCCAGCUCCUUCUCAAUCAGUUCAUCCUAGGACAAUUGCACCUCCAUCAGAAUCAACGCAUCCCGAGACAGUUGAAGAAUAAACCUCACGUCCAGUUGGAAAAAGCACAAGGAUUAUGAAUCAAGUGAAAUGAGCACGAACAAGAGGCAUUGUGCAUAUUGAUUAAUGAAAUGGGAUGGGAUAUGGUUUGUGGGGCUAAGGAGUCAAUUGUUUUAAUGUGGAUGUUUUCUUUUAAAUAGUUUGUCAUCGACUUUGUGAAACUUCAUUUCAAUAUCAAUUAAACGAUCUUGUUGCUUGUUAUCUUUGAUGCCUUUUUCAAUUUUUUGUAUUUUGUUUUUACUUUUACUUACUGCUUUUUGCUUCUAAUGGUAGAUCUGUGGUGAUGAUUGGGGUGCUUGUGUGGCUGGUGGUGGUGGUUGGUGAAGCCUGAUGGUGGUGGGUCCACUAUGUGGAUUAGGUUGGGGCCUUUUGCUGCAGCUAGUAUAGUUUGCAUAAACCCCUUUUGCAACAGACCCACGACCCACCACCAACAGUGGCUGCUAAUGGUGGGUCUAUGGUGGUGGCUACGUGCUGGUAUGGUAGCUGAGAUGUUGGUGCUGAUGCCUACUGAUAGACUAGUGGGUCUAUUAUAGGGGUUGGGGGGUUGGGGGUUUGUGCUGCACUUGGUGCAAGAUGUAAGUGUGCAAUAUGCACAUCUUGCACCAAGUAGUGUUGGUGCAAGCUGGUGUAAGGCACUAGGAACUUCUGCACUGCAGAAUACCAGCAGCAUAGUGGUGGCUCAAGUGAAUGCCUGGGAUGCUUGAUGUGGUUGGUGGUGAUGGCUAGAGGCCGAUGGUGGCCAGUGGUGGGCGAUCAUGGUGGCUGAUAGCUGGUGCAAUUUAUAGAUGAAACAUAAAAACAAAAUUGACACUUAACUGAUCACAUUCUAAAAAACCUAGCACUUAAGUGUUCACUUUUAAUCACAAAUGGCACUUAAGUGAUCACUUUUGAUACUAACUUAACACUUAAAUGACUUUUUUUUAAUCAAGAGUGGCACCUAAGUGAUCACUGUAUACAACUUAUAGCACUCGAGUAAUCACUCAUGUCUGUCCUAUGUAAAUGGUUAUUUGCAGCAAACUAGAGAAGCUGCUGGUUUAUAUAUAUGAAUGUUCAACUUAUGCCAACUCCAUUUGAUUCAUUGCUACUAGUUUACAUUUAAUUGAAGGAAAGAAGUCACCACAACACAUCCACCCAAUAUACAUUCCAUCAUCACCGAUUUAUAUUCGCAAAUAAGCAAAAAUAUAGUACAAAUAGCAUCUCAUUCAUUCAAACCUCAUCUCAUUCAUUCAUUCCCUUUCCUUGACCUCAUUUACAACUAUGGCAGUCGAAGAAACUUCUUCUCAUUUUCCAAUACUUUACAUUUCAUCAUAAAGUAGGAUAGACCAAAAAAAAAACAGUAACACAAUAAACGCUCGGUAACACUUCCGUUCAAUAUUCAUCUUUGAAACUUCAUUCUUCAAAUGGUUAGCAGAAGAUGCUUGAGCUUGCAUUGAGUCAACCUCGUCCAAGUCGUCCACAGGUGUAGAUGGAGGUUGAUGACAUCCAUCAAGUAGAUCCAAUAUCACCUAUGUGGCUCGGUGAGAGAAUUUCGCAUCAACCCAUUCGAAAUAUUUGCACUUCGACCCUUCUCUGUAUCGGGCACAUCCAUAGAAUCUUCUCCUAGGAUUCCUUCGAGUCCACGAUAUUCUUCUUGGACUUGGUAACCCACAAAAACAUAAAGGCUCGCCUUCUCCUUCGCUUCGGUGAGAGAAAUUUGAGCCACUAUUGAAAGUUUUGCUCUCCAUUCCUAAUAUCCGACCGUAGAAUUUGGGGCAAAUCGAGUUAGGGUUCAGGAUUAGGGCUCCAACGCUCCAACGCUUCGAUGGCAAUUUGCUUGAUUUAGGGUUUUAGAUUUGGGGCAAUGGGGGAGACGAUUGUAAAUGAAUCUCCGGUNNNNNNNNNNNNNNNNNNNNNNNNNNNNNNNNNNNNNNNNNNNNNNNNNNNNNNNNNNNNNNNNNNNNNNNNNNNNNNNNNNNNNNNNNNNNNNNNNNNNACAAGAAGCAUCCCAGUCAAAUUGAGCUUCCACGUCAGGAAUUUAUGAAUUGAAUAAACAAGUCCUGCUGUAGCAUUUACAUGUCAUUGUUCUCCUUCCAUACAGGCUUGUCAGUUCUCAAUCUAUCCAUUUUUAUCGAAGUCCACCAUGACUUCUACAAAGUUUGACUAGUAGCUUUAAGCUCUAGUUUUUCUUCAUCUUGGUUUCACCAGCAUUGUCUACUUGCGUGCAUAACAAACAAUGGAGGCCUGUCUAUAAGCAAAAGGCUAAGUGCUACACAGUGGCUCAAGUCUGAGAGCCACCUCUAAGGUCUUAUACUAUCAAUAUACAUUUGUCAAGGACUAACAACAACUUCGUGGAAGCCACCUAUAUAGUCUUAUACUAUUAAUAUGUGUUGAUCAAGGGCUAAGUGCUAUGGUGAUACGAUUCUCGUGAGAGCUACUUCUAGGGCUUUGUACUACUUAAGGGCUAAGUUUUACAUGAUAACGUAAACUUCAUUGAAGCCACCUUUAGGGCUUUGAGAUGUGGUAUCGUACGAGUUUAGAUAAUGGAAUGGACAAGUGACAUGUUUUUUUUUUUUUAUAGAUAUUAAUCAAUAGACUUGACCAUUGAUAUAUGUAUUUUAAUUAUAGAUUUAAAUGAGUAUUUCCCGAUUUAUAUAAAGUUUGUUGAAAUGAAACAACUCAUAUAUGAUUUGAUAUAUAUAUAUAUAUAUAUAUUGGUUACUUGAUCUGUUUAGCAUUAAGAUAUGGUUGCCCAUCUCUUUCCUUCCCAAUUUUUUUAGGCUCCUCAGUUAGCGGUGAUGGUACAAGAGGGCUUUCGAUAAAGACCGUGUCCUUUCAGUGAAAGGAUGACCAUGUUAUAUCCCUAUCACUGUAGAAUUCGAGAUAUAACAUCUUUUGAUCUUUUGAUAUCAGAGCAGCACCCCUCCAGUAGUAAGUGUAUGAUUCCAAACAAUUCCGAACAAACCAUGCGAAAGCUAGUAGGUUUGUAAUAGCCCAAUCUGACGAGGGCAAGGAAUAGUCAACGAGGCUAGGGGGUCUACAGAAUGAGCGCUUACUAGUAGGCUUCUAGGAUGGCGAAAAGGGCAUAAAUGAUAUACAUCGAACAAGAGGAGAGCAAAACUGAAAUUAACUCACGAAUGUGCCUUCAAACAUAACGACAAGUUUGCUUUAGAACUCCAAAGUUAAGCANNNNNNNNNNNNNNNNNNNNNNNNNNNNNNNNNNNNNNNNNNNNNNNNNNNNNNNNNNNNNNNNNNNNNNNNNNNNNNNNNNNNNNNNNNNNNNNNNNNNNNNNNNNNNNNNNNNNNNNNNNNNNNNNNNNNNNNNNNNNNNNNNNNNNNNNNNNNNNNNNNNNNNNNNNNNNNNNNNNNNNNNNNNNNNNNNNNNNNNNNNNNNNNNNNNNNNNNNNNNNNNNNNNNNNNNNNNNNNNNNNNNNNNNNNNNNNNNNNNNNNNNCAUUAAACGAAGAUGUAUAAACACCGAGCAAACACAAUCAAAAAGAAAUUGUUUAGAUAUGAUCCCGUGGAGAUAAAAUGCGGUAGAAAACAUGGACAAAAAGUUGUGAUCAUGUGUGACAUAUCAUUAUACAGUCAAAACAGGUCAGGAUCAAGGAUUAAUACAUACAGACUCAGUCUGGUUAUUUUGUCGAACAUAUGGUGCACGGUUAUGUGGUGGGCGGUUUAGUUGCUAAGUUUAUAUGAGUUUAGGGUAACGGUUCAUUUCAUUCCAUUACAAUAAGCGCUAAUAUAAAUCAUCACCUCAGCCUCGAUCAUAUCAGAUUUUAGAUUGACACUGUAUGAAGUCUUAGUUACUGUUUUCAUUCUAAAACUAUGACCUAUAGGAACAAUUAUUGAACUCACCUUCAUCAAGCUUAAUCUCUAUCUCCCAACAGUGAGAAAAUCCAAGCAAGGACUUUUCCAGAAAUUUUACCACUGAGGAUCGGAAGUUAAAUUGAAGAUAUAAACGCGAGAUAACUUCCACGAAUUUCCCGGCCGUGGAACAGGGAGAAGCAGAGCAGGAAAGGCGCAAAUCCGGAAUGCCCAGAAACGACAGGCGACGAAGGCUAAUAACGUCAGGAGAGUAGUUGUGAAGAAAUUCUCAGCGGUAGCAGGCAGCGAGAAGAGGGACGGGCUUUUCCCUUCUUUUACUUAAUUGGGCCAACAAAAUGAAUUCCACACUAGGCAGUAGGCAUUAUCAUGAGUUUCAAUUAGACUUUUUCUCGUGGGUUCCCUCGCAGACUGCAAACUUUUCGGGCAAACUGAUAGCUGUGAAUGGGCCUCGACUGAGAAUAUUGGGUAGAAUACCUUGCCAUGGUUUCAGAGGCUUGGAACUAAUAAGCCCAAGUGCUGAACCUAAUAAGUGGAAAUACGGACAGCACUAAAUCAUAAUUUUUAUACGACUUUCACUUAAAUAUUAUAAUUUAUUUCCGAUCACUUGAGUGAUAUAACUUUUUAAAAAAUAAUUUUGAUCGAUUACUUGAAUGCUAAAACUUUUAAAAAAUAUUCAUCUAAGUAUUGGAAAUUUGACGUAGAACGUUUUCGCAAUUAAGUUCUAAAAAAUUCACCAUAACUUUCGAUUGAUCACUAGAGUGCUAAAACUUUAAAAAAAAAUGUUCACCCAAGUGUCGGAAAUCUGAUGUGGCAUAGCACGUGAUGAACGUUUUUAAAAAUUUUAAACAUUCAAGUAAUUGAUAAAAAAAAAAGUUAUAUGACACUUAAGUGAUCGAAAAAAAAUUAUAGCAAUUAAGUGAGUAAUAUAUAUAAAUUAUAACACUCAAGUGAUCCCAAAAAAAAAAAAUUAUAACACUCAAAUGAGCCCGUUAUAUAGUACCUUUUUUCCAUCUUCUUAUCCGCUUUCCACUUGUUAUGUAUUGAUUUAUUUUUUAUUGAUUUAUUUUUGUUAUUAUCUGGCUAAUUUUUACUUUUGUACUUUUUACAAGAAUGAAUAUUUGAGUUGUCGACUAAAAUUUACGUGUCAACAAAACCUUGUCAAGAAACUUUCUUGCGUAGGCCAACGGCAUUUGUUACUCAUGCUUGUUGUACUUAGGAUUUUCCUUUUUGGAAUUUCUCACUAGUUGCCGUAACCGACUCCUCCUGCUGCAUCUUUGAAGAAAAUUCUCCAACAGAAACGCCUAAUUGUCAAAGACCUACUGAUUUUGUUUUUUUCUUAAACUUAUUUUUCUAAAUUUGCUUAUUUGGUUUAAUCUUAAUAAGCAAACAGGGGAUAAAGUUUAUGUUUUUUUUUUUUUUUACCCAUCAAUCCUCUUGUAAAGGAUCCACUUGAGAGAUGCAUGAAAAAGAGUCAACUCUUGGAUGACUGUCAUUGGGGCAAGAUUUGUGCAUUCACUAGUCUACCAUUUCGCCACUAUCAUCAUCAAGAGCAAGUGAUGACGCCAUGCUCCUUGAAUGUCCCUACUAACUCUCUCAAAAGUCUUUUGUCUAGUCUUCCCAGUCCUCUUUCCAAGUCAACUGCCGUGUUUAAAGUCAACUACCGUGUUUAAGUAGCUGAUCUUACUUGACUAGUCAAAAGAAUUGUCAAUAACAAGGGCUUUCGUUUCACUUUCAUAUGAGGAAUCAAACGACUUUCCCUUCUUUUUUCUUCUUCUUCUUCAUACUAUUCCAUUCCGUUCUUUAGCUUUGAUUUCAAUAAUUAAAAGGAAAGAAAAUUCUCAUUUCCAAGCUAGAACCAUAUUGAAAUCCUGGGAUGGGUCUACACUGUGCUUCCGCACAAGAGGUAAUUUGCAUUGCAUUGCACAUCUUCUUCAUUGCCAUCUUAGAAGAGCACGUCGAGUCAUCAUCAUAUGAAGCUUGCGAACCCCGCAACUGUGGCACUGAUGAUUUCAACCUAAGCUAUCCCUUUUAUAUUCUUGGAGAAGGAAGCAAUUUAUGCGGUUACCCUGGAUUUGAGAUAACUUGUCGAGGAAAAAAGGCUACGUAUGGGAGCUACGCAGUUAAAAGCAUCUCCUACAACGAGAGUUCCAUCGAAUUAGUAAGCCCAAGGGAUACUUCCUGCUUUGCUCCUCGCCCCUUCCCCUUGCUUCCCGAUAACGUUUUCCUACAGGACAGUGUUUCCCGUCAUCCUAAACUUUUAUUCUUCUAUAACUGCACCGACCCUUCUUUUCCCUUCCAUACAUCCUCUGUGAAUUGUACUUCUAACGCCACAUACAACGCCUCUGUCGCGUUGAUUCCAAACUGCACCUUCUAUCGACAAGGUGGUUCCUGCCGGUCAUUUGCAGUGGUACCAGUACAACUGGAGGAAAAUAUCUCGAAUCAAACUAUCAAAGAUGUCAACUAUAGGGAGUUGUUGCAAAAAGGGUUCCAGUUAAAGUGGGAUUUAUCAACCAGUUGUACUGGUUGUGAAAAAAGUGGAGGCCGAUGUGGACGAUCACAAGACACGAACUUUCGGUGCUAUUGCCCACAUGGAACAAUUCAUCCCAGGGACUGCUAUAGUGGCGGCGGUAAGGUUUUGGAAUUAGGAAUUAACGGUUCAUGCAAUAAAUUCGUCAUAAACCAUUCUCUUCCCUGAAUAGAACAUGGUUAUUACGAUGAUACAAUUUUAUUGAGUGUUACGAGGAAAAUGAGCAUUAUUAAUCGUGUCAUCUCCCUUUGGCCUAUCCACUUAGCAUAUUCAACUGGCCUACUCCACUCUCCCAACUCUAGCAACACAAAUCAACGCUGGAAUUUAUUAUGUAAUCCCUGAGAUAUUUUGGCAUCUGAAGAUGUUUCUUCUACUUGUAGCUCUGCUUCUACAAAUACAAGCAAUCUGCACUACACUUCACACUCUAUUCUCUAAUUACUGAUGCUCAGACUCCUACAGAAAANNNNNNNNNNNNNNNNNNNNNNNNNNNNNNNNNNNNNNNNNNNNNNNNNNNNNNNNNNNNNNNNNNNNNNNNNNNNNNNNNNNNNNNNNNNNNNNNNNNNNNNNNNNNNNNNNNNNNNNNNNNNNNNNNNNNNNNNNNNNNNNNNNNNNNNNNNNNNNNNNNNNNNNNNNNNNNNNNNNNNNNNNNNNNNNNNNNNNNNNNNNNNNNNNNNNNNNNNNNNNNNNNNNNNNNNNNNNNNNNNNNNNNNNNNNNNNNNNNNNNNNNNNNNNNNNNNNNNNNNNNNNNNNNNNNNNNNNNNNNNNNNNNNNNNNNNNNNNNNNNNNNNNNNNNNNNNNNNNNNNNNNNNNNNNNNNNNNNNNNNNNNNNNNNNNNNNNNNNNNNNNNNNNNNNNNNNNNNNNNNNNNNNNNNNNNNNNNNNNNNNNNNNNNNNNNNNNNNNNNNNNNNNNNNNNNNNNNNNNNNNNNNNNNNNNNNNNNNNNNNNNNNNNNNUACUGAAGUCCUUUUGUUGUGUAGACUAUUCACUUUUUGUUUGGUCUAUCAAAACUCUUCAACCACUGCUUGCCCUCUAAUUUGUUCAAGGCUUGCAAGGUCCAACCAAGCUUGUCAACGUCUUCAUGUCAUUUGGUUAGUUCAUCUUCCAUUUGUCCAUCCAAAACUUUUUUAUGAUCACACGUCCUAUGGUUUAUUUACCAUUCACAAGGUCCUUUUGAACAUUGACAUAUUCCUCAUCUAAUAGGCUGUUCGCCAUUUGCAAUGUCCAUCCAGUUAUUGCCAUAUCUCACGUCCAAUAGCUUGUUUAUCUUUUAAAGCAAAAGUCGUUCUACACUCUUAGAUGUCCUAUUGCUAACACCAUCUUCAUAUGAAUAUUUACUAGUGUCUUCUGCACACUCAAUUGCACAUGUUUGUAUACCUAAAAUGUUUUGACAUCCUCAAAAUAUUAUAGGCAUCUUUCCUAACAGUAUGACUUGAGAGAACGGAUACUAUUGUGCUUAACCAUAGAAAUCACACGCCAUAGCUCCAUGUGCAUUUCUCACAUUCAACCUAUCAGUUUCCACUUCCUAUUUCGGCUUUCCUCGGGUGGGAUAAUACACAAUCGGUGUUCACGUCAUCUUUCUAUGCUAUCUUUUUGCAUUUGUGCAAACCUCAUAAAUACUUUAGCAGAACCUUUAGAAUAGAGAUCUUAUGACAAUUAAACCGACUUCUCAUUUCAGGAAGAUGAAUAUAUAGGACUCUUGUUUGCCAAUAAAAUGCACAAGUAGUUGACACACCUCAUUAUAAAUGGCAAACAUAAGUUACCCCACUUUAUAUUUUGAACUUGCUCUGCCAUUCACAUUGCGAUAGGUUGUGCAUCAAUUUUAUAUCAAAUAAGAUUCGGAUGAAAGUACUGGUGGUGGCUAUUCUCCCUUUUAUUAUUCUCUAUUCGUCCAACUAUGUAAAGUUGAUUUAUGAACUCUAUGGAGGCUAUAUUGGCAUCCUUUCCCUCAGUUGACCAAUCUGCUUUUUCAACUUUGAUGCAGGAAAAGGGAGUUUGCGGUGGAAGAUAGGACUAGGUGACUUCCUUUUUCUUAGUUUCUUGUCUGCUAUCACAUUGCCUUCGCUAACCUGAACAAAUCAAAGUAUAACUAGGACAAUCUAUUCCCCGCUUGACAUGAUAAAAAAUAAAAAAAAAUAAAAAAACAGGAUCAACUUACUGCAGAAGUAUCCUUUCUGGUUUUUACUGCAAACCAAUCAAACAAUGCUGAUCAAAUCAAAGUUGGCUAUAGUAAAAUCUUCUUACUUCGUCUUAGGAUCUCAACUAUCUGUCCAUGCUUCCAGCCAACAUAAUCCGUGUGUCCUAGGAAAUGACAUUAAAGUUAAAAGCAUUUUCCUACAUAGGACACUGGUUAAUUAUCUCCUGCUGCAUCAGGUAUUGGAAUCGGAAGCUUGGCCAUCAUCCUGUUGUCCUAUAUGAUCUACUUGAAGAGGAAGAAUGCUUCUUUGAAGUCCUGUUUGAGAAACAGCACCUCUCAUCCUCAGUCCAAUUCAGACAUGGAAGAGUGCAAUGUCUCCUUUGAAGUCCCCAUUUUCAACAGUACCGAACUUGAAGAAGCCACAAACAACUUUGCUGCUUCCAAUAAACUAGGAGACGGAGGUUUUGGAACUGUUUAUUACGGUGAGAAAAAGUUCCUUCCCUAUUCCUCCAAGGGAUCUUCAACUGAAAGACAUUUUCUACAAUGUUCUUAACAGGAAAAAUUCGAGAUGGACGGGAAGUAGCAGUGAAGCGCCUAUACGAGCAUAACUAUCGGAGGGUAAAGCAGUUCAUGAAUGAGGUAGAGAUCCUAACCCGUUUGCAACACAAAAACCUCGUGUCUCUGUACGGUUGCACUUCGCGCCACAGCCACGAGCUUCUACUUGUCUAUGAGUACAUCUCAAAUCUCCAAUGGCACUGUUGCCGAUCAUAUCCAUGGCCAGCUAGCAACUACAUUGCCUUGGAAAAUCCGUAUGGGCAUAGCCAUAGAGACUGCUACUGCAUUGGCUUACCUCCACGCUUCUGACACUGUCCACCGUGAUGUGAAAACAAAUAACAUCCUUCUCGACAAGAAUUUUGGGGUUAAAGUUGCGGAUUUUGGGCUUUCGAGGCUAUUCCCCAACGAUGUCUCUCAUAUCUCAACAGCUCCUCAAGGGACUCCAGGUUAUGUGGACCCUGAGUACCAUCGGUGCUACCAGCUCACGGAAAAGAGUGAUGUCUAUAGCUUUGGAGUUGUUCUGAUCGAGCUUGUAUCAUCCAAGCCAGCUGUGGACAUAAGCAGAGAAAGGGAUGAGAUUAAUUUGGCCGACUUUGCUAUUAACAAGAUUCAAAACUUCGCGUUUGGUAAAUUGAUCGACCCAAAUCUAGGAUUUGAGUCAGAUAGCAAAAUCAAUAGGAUGAUGACCUCGGUGGCCGAGUUAGCUUUCCUGUGCUUGCAACAGGAUAAGGAAAUGAGACCUCCAAUGGAUGAGGUUUUGGAGGAACUGAAGGCGAUCGCAUGCAAUGAGAAUGCCGCAGACAUAUUUGCUUAUGCGGAUGAGGGUGAAGGUGUCCUUGCUCCAUCUCCUUCGCAUUACGACGAUUCCCAGCUACUGAAGAAUAUGCAGUUGACCCAUUCUCCAGUUUCUGUGACUCAAAAGUGGGGUAGCAGCGGCAGUUCUGCUCCUGGUGUUGAUGGUUAGAUUAUCCAUGCAGCCUCUUGUCACAUACUUUGCACACACGUGAAUGCAACUUCAAGUAAGCAGUCAUAUAUGUUGAGAUAUUACUUAUUUGAGUGCUGAAGGUAUGGACAUGGUAAUAAAGCAUUAAUGUCAAUCUGGCUUGCGCAUUAUAUUGAAUAGUUUAUCCAUUGUUUCGUACCCCAUUAAAAAUAUCCAACACGACACAUCAACAUAUUGGUUGGCCGAAAAAGAGAACGGCCUAUAAACAUGAGUAGAUUCACACGUAGAUAACUAUUAUAGGGAAGUCUUCAGAGACCAUCUUUCUCUGUGGUUGGUCGUGACUUAUACUGAACUUCUGUGAUACAAUCAUUCAAGCUUACGACCAUGGUGACCUGACAUGUGACAACAUGUAUAUGUCUCUUUGCUAAAGUGAGCAUGGGGUGAAAAAGGGAAAUAUGGGGUGAAAAAGGGAAAUAUGGGGAUGACUAUUAUGGUUGAUGUGUAAUUCAAAGUUAUGUCCACUCGGAUUAUUCCGUCCACACUCUUUUUCCUUUCCGCAAGACCGGGAGAUUGGACGCUUCAGAUUACAAAUCCAAGUUUGUCUAUGGUUCAAUUCGUUGUUUUGUCCCCAUAUUUUCAAUUCUGAUAAAGACGUUCCUGUAAUAUUAUCGUGACUCUCAAAGUCAUGCUCGGUCACAAUACCAAAUCAAAUACAACAAGUGGUAAUCAAAAUAAAGAUAAUAACGAAUAGAGGGUCCAUUAGUAGGUAGAAUUUAAUGUUCUUUCCAUGAUCCCCUUUAAUUGACAUAGAUUGGAGAAAUAAUUUUUGGAGAGGAAAUCUAUACAGUGGCAAUAAAGGUGACUUAUCUAUCAACUCAUUUCAAUUGGUUUGAAUCCAUUAAUUGAAGGGAAUCAUUUUGUUACCUCUAGUUAAUCGAUAAUCUCAAUUUUAACUUGGCCAAUGAUUUUAGUAAUUUCACAUGAAUUAGGUACCUAAAAAAGAGAAUACGCAUCCUAAUAGUUUCGACGCAACCAUUAAUUCACAAUCCCACUAGCUGCAACCUUCCCUUGCAAUGUCACCACUCUCGAUCCUCAACGAGACAUCUUCAAAAAUUUCUCGUAUUCUCUUCUAGCGAUUGUCGUCCUGCCCGUGAGCCAUUCGGAUAGACCGGCAUAAAGUCAUGCGCACCCCAGGGAUGACGCAUGUUGUAAUAUUUGCUUUUGGGGUUGAAAUGUCAACAAAAAGGGAAAAAGAAAGGCACGCUCAGCACCAGGAGACCGAGAGCUCGCACGAGGAAGGGAAGAAAAGAAAGACAAAAAGGGAAAAAAACUCCAUGGGACCUCGUCAAGCUGAAUCAAUUACGUAUCGUAAUGUAUCAUGUCCUCUGUUCAUUUAUUCGGAGUAGUUUUCUGAGUUCGUAUAUUCAAAGUUAUGUGAAAAUCGAGGUUCAAUUUUUGAAUUGUGUAGCAUAGAAUUUUCAUGGGAAUGAUGGAUAAUGGCAUUGUGGAGUCGUGAGUUUGACGAGAGCCAAUUUAAAAUAAGAUUUUGUUGGGUUGAGAUUUGUUUAGAUUUGAGUAGUCGCUUCGGAUAAGCGAUUUGUUAGUGUAUGAGUCGUUUAAUCUAUACAGACUCAAUUUGGUCAUUUUGUCUAACAUAUGGUAGGCGGUUUAGUUGCUUAGUUUAUGUAUGAGUUAGGGUAACGGUCCAUUUCAUUCCAUCGCAAUAAGCACUUAUAUACAUCAUCAUCUCAGCCUCGAUCAUAUCAGAUUUUAGAUUGACGACGUAUGAAGUCUCAGUAUCUGUUUUCAUUCUAAAACUAUGGCCGAUGGUAACAAAUAUUGGACUCCCCUUCAUCAAUCUUAAUUUAUAGCUCCGAACAGUGAGAAAAUCCAAGCAAGGACUUCCCCAGAAAUUUCACCACCGAGUAAAUUGAAGAUAUAAACGCGAGAUGACUUCCGCCAAUUUCCCGGUCGUGAAACAGGGAGGGGCAGAGCAGGAAAGGCGCAAAUCCGGACUGCCGAGAAACGCGACGGCGACGAAGGCUAAUAACGUCAGGAGAGUAGAAGUGAAGGAAUUCUCAGGGGUAGCAGGCAGCGACGAGCGGAGAUAAGGGUAAUCAGAAUUGGAAUCUGAAAGCAAUCUCUGUACGAGCGAGGUUGAAAACCACUCGAAGCUCUCAGUCAACUGCAAAGGAACGGAGCACUUCCAUAUUCUGGAACCUUCCCGAUGUUCCUUCGCUCAGCAUUCCUUCUCGCGCCCGCCGGCGCGGUCUCAUCCUCGCUCGUUCAAGAAUGAACGUGAGAUAAACAAAUGAGGGUCGAAUUGAUGGGUGAAUGGGCCUCCACUGGAAUUAAUAAGCCCAAAUGCUGAAUCUAAUAAAUGAAUUGCACAAAUCGGAUCCAAAUGUUUUUAUGGGCUAAGGUUUAUUCAAAAGGUUCAAGAGCCUGUGCUGAAAAAGAAAACCGCACUUUAUCACUUUUCAUCUCAUUUUCAUUGUUAUCUAUCUAUUUAUUUAUUCAUUUAAUUUUGAUAUUAUCUCGCUAUUUUUUUAUUGUUUACUUUUACAAAAAUGAAUACUUGAAUUGUCAACUAAAAUUUAUAUGUCAACAAAACCUUCUCAAGAAUUUUUUUAGGAUAGGUCAGUAGUUUUUGUUGUUCAUGAUCAUUGUACUAAGAAUUUACCUUUUUGGAAUUUCCUACUACUCUUGGACCUAACUCUUGCCGCUAUUUCUUUGAAAUUAAAUUUCAAACAGAGGCUAUUUUUUCAAAUAGACCCACUGAUUUUUUUUUCCUUGAAUUCAUUUUUCUAAUUUUGCUUAUUUGGUUUGAUUUUAAUAAGUAUAACAAGGGAUAAAAGUUUCCGGAUCUUUUUUUUUUUUUUUAAUUAUCCUCUUGUAAAUGAUCCAACUUGAGGGGAUAUAUGAAAACAGUAGUCAACUGUAGGAAUAACUUGUUAAUGGGGGCAAGAUUUGUGCAAGUUUACUAAGUCUACACAUUUGACCGACCUAUCAUCAUCAAAGAGGUAAAGUGAUGGGUGACUGGCUCCUCAAAAGUCUUUUGUUCUAGUCUUCUUGUCCCCUUUCCAAGUCAACCGCCGUGUUUAAGUAGGAAUUUCCAAUAACAAGGCCUUCUUUUCACUUUCACGUCAAAAAUCACACAAUUUCUUCCAUUUCCAAUAACAAGGGCCUUCUUUUCACUUUCACGUCAGGAAUCACACGGCAUCAAUAUCCCAAAGAAAAGAAAAAGAAACUCCAUACAUUCUACUUGAUCCCAUUCCACAACAUCGAUAUCCCAAAGAAAAAGAAAAAAGAAACUCCAUACGUUCCAGACUAAAGCCAAAUCAAAAUCCCAAGAUGAGUUCACACUGCACUUACACACGAGGUUUAGUUUGGACAAUGUUAUACAUCUUCUUCAUUACCAUCUCAGAAGAUCUUGCCGCAUCAUGGUAAGAUGAAAUAUCAUAUGAAGUCAGCGAAGUCGCAAUUGUGGGGGCAAUCACUGUUCGAACAUAUAUUAUCCGUUUUAUGUUCUAGGAGGAGGAAGAGAAUUAUGCGGUUAUCCUGGAUUUGACAUCACUUUGAGCUUGCUAACUGUAUUGUCCAUUUUGAGCUUGCUAACUAUAUUGUCCACUUUGAGCUGAAGCUUAGCCCAUCCUCAUGGGCGUGUUUUUGGCCCAUCCCUCGCAAGAUUGCCUUACUUGCUAACUAUAUUGUCCACUUUGAGCUAAAGCUUAGCCCAUCCUCACGGGCGUGUUUUUGGCCCAUCCCUCGCAAGAUUGGGUUGUUACAAAGCCACUAGCUUCAGCCCGAUUCGUCCUCGAACCACACACUUUUGACUGGGCUUGGCUCUAUACCAUUGUGAGGGCCGACCUAUGACCCCACUUGCCAACUAUAUUGUCUACUUUGGGCUAGAACAUGCACAAUUUUAAAAUGUGUCAUUGGUAGUUAAGAAUGGUGCCACGCCUUAUAAGGCACAUCACCUCACCGUCCUCAAGUGAUGUGGAAUUUGAUUCAUUCAUGUCCCCAUCACCAUGCUCAUAACGUGUGCUCUUGGCCCAUCCCUCGCAAGAUCAAGUCAUUACAAACACAAUUGGUUCUCUAUUGGCAUGGCAAGCCUAUUUAGGAGGACAGGUCUAGAAAUAAACAUUCGAGUACGAGUCCUAUCCAAUGUGCAACAGAACUUUUCGUUAUCUCUUUAACUGCACUUACAUUCUUGGCAAAAAUUUGUACCCCCCAAACAUCUAUGCAAGCGGCGCAAAUAUAAGACAUUGGCCGGACUGUACAUAGAUUCAAUGGCUAGUGCUAGGAGUCUUAAUCACAGGCAAAAGGGGAUUCUCUAUACAUUUAGCGAGACUCUAGUCUGUUUAUUACUCCGCUGCUACUGUAUUACUAUACUCUUCUUCUCUUUAGGCACGUUCUCUUAAGCAUGUGAUCAGCUAGUGGCAUUGCUUGACAAUAUUAGCAGAUGUUACUUACAUAAAUGCAUUUCGCACCAAAUAAGCUCCGAGUGAUGGUAUCGGUUUGAAAACUUCAAUUGACAUAAUCACCGGCUCAAGCACUGCCUUCCUACCACUGACACUAAUAUAACUGUUCAGAGAGUAGUUCUUACAUCCUCUCAAGACACUUACCAAAUGAAUAGAGGAGCCCCUUAAAGGCUAAUCAGCCGCUCAUCUAACUGAGCAAUUCCUAUUGCAACUCAUGAACCUUUUCAAUAAUCAUCUGCUUUCUUUCCCUACCCUUUAUAAUUAUUCGUUUCAUUUCACGACUUGUGUUUCUUUGUAGAAUCUCACCUUUUUAUGGAAUCAAUUGUGGUUAGACCCAAUUUUAUUUUAUUUUUGUUCUUUUGUUCCUUGUCUUGCUUAUUUGCUUUAAUAUGUAAGGGUCACCCUGUAAUUGCUUGGAAAGAAAUAGAGUCGUCAAAGUCUUUCAGUAACUGGUCAGUAGGGGCAAGAUAGGAUGGAAGUUUUCCAAUUGGAGGUUUUACUUUUUCGUCAGCCUAUCAUCAUCAAGAGGGAAGUGACAGAUCGCAUUACAAUUACCAACGACGGACGCAAAACUUAAAUUUCUUCAGUUGGGUAUCCCGACCUUUAUGUAAUCAGAGUCUCUUCAAGUCUUCCGUGUCCUCUUUUCCAAGUCAACUAACGUGUCUAUGCAAUAGGGUCUCUUCAAGUCUUCCGUGUCCUCUUUUCCAAGUCAACUAACGUGUCUAUGCAAUUGCCAAUCAGAGUCUCUUCGAGUCUUCCGUGUCCUCUUUAUGUAAUCAGAGUCUCUUCAAGUCUUCAGUUGGGUGUCCCUACCUUUAUCAUUGUGCAGGAAUUGCCAAUAAGAAGGCCUUCCCUUCAAGUUCAAAGCUGCAGCAUUGUAGAGCAUCAAUGGAAAACGAAAAAUCUUCCUCUCUCGUUUGAAGCCUGGAAACCCCGUGUAAAGUGUCAGGAUGGUCAUGGUUCUAUGCUGUGCUCAUGCGCAAGUGCUACUUCACAUUGGGUUGCACAUCUUGCUCAUUGCCAUGUUAGCUGAGCCAAAUAACUUAUCACAGUAUCAACUUUGCGAACCCAUGAAAUGUGGCGGUGGUGCAAGCCCAGAAAUAAGGUAUCCCUUUUACAUUCCUGGAAAAGAUAGAGAUUUUUGUGGUUAUCCAGGGUUUGAGAUCAUCUGUCAAGGAACAAAAACUAUGUAUGGUCACUACUCAGUUGAAAGAAUCUCCUAUGAAGAACAAUCCAUUCAUUUGGCGAAUCAGUACGUUAUGGAUGCUUCCUGCUUCACUCCUCGUCCCUCCACUUUCCAUCCCGUGAACCCGAUUUUAGAUCACAGCUACUCCUUUCAUCCAAGACUCUGGUUCUUCUAUAAUUGCACAGGUUCCUUUUCUUUUCGCUACCCAAAAGUCCGGGUAAAUUGUGCCUCUAAACCCAUGUACAACUCCUUUGUUGCGUUAAUACAUCCAAAUGAUUCCUACUAUCAAGAAGGCGGAGCCUGCCAAUCGUCCGUGGAAGUACCAGUAGAACUGAAGGAAGGGUCGUCGAACCAAACAAUAGGCGAUGUUGACUACAAGGAGUUGUUGAAGGAAGGGUUCGUCUUAAAAUGGGAUUUAUUACCUGAAAAGAGUUGUAAUAGUUGUCAACAAAGUGAAGGCCGAUGUGGACUGUCAGACAAGCAACAUUUCUGGUGUUACUGCCCUAAUGGCACUCACCACCACAAGGACUGCGAUAGCAGCAACAGCGGUAAGGUUUUUAGGACUAGGAAUUGACAAUUCUUGCAUCAUGUCCUAAAUAAUUCUCUUUCCUAGAUAGAAUUGGUUAUUAGGGCAAUAUAAACACUAUGACUAUUAAGAGCAAGAUGACCAAGGUGCUUCCCAUGUCCUCUAGAGAACCUCCCAUAUUUGGGAUUGGUCAGGGAUUUAAGACGCCUGGAUAGGAUGCCCAACGUCAUAAAAAGGAGAUUCUUUGAAAAACCACAUCCUUAUGUUGCAGAGUAUCCAUGACUUGUUUACUCUAAUCCAACGACCACACAUUCCAGUAUGACCUUUGCAGAAUCUAAGACUAUAUAUUACAAUAGAUUGCUUAGUAACGAGGCAAAUGGUUUCUCCCUUCGGUGAUGUCCACAUCGGCUUCAGAUGACAGUACCGGUUUUUAUUGAUAGCAUACUCUAUAUAUCUCCGAAUAUGCAAACCUAAUUCAUGAACUCUAUGGGCACUAACUCCAUAUCCUUUCCCUUAUUGACCAAUCUGACUUUCAUCUUUGAUGCAGGAAAAAGAGGCUUGUGGUUGAAGAUAGGGCUUGGUAAAUUUUCUCAAGUAGCUUGCCUAACUGCAUGCCCUUUGUCGACUAGAACAAAGCAUAGUACUCUAAAGAUAAUCUGCUUGCUACAUGACAUGAUAAACCAACAGAAACAGUGUUACCUUAUUACAUAUGUUUUCGCUACAGAUUCGGAUUAUCUAAUGCAUGAGCAAGGAAGUGCAAAAACAAAAUCCAAUAUGUGGCUUCCCGGGUUGUAUCGGCCUUCCAAUUGUCCUGAAUCUUCUCAUUUGUUAUCAAAAUAUGGAGUACCAAGCUAUGCUUAUAGCGAAUAAAAUUCCAAAGUCCUUGGAACUGCUAACCAGUUAAAACAUUAGCCCAUUAAGCUUCUUCUAAGCAUCAUUUUCCAUGUACUCUGUUUUUCCCGGAUAAUUUUUAGAAGCUCAUCAUGUUGCCCGCCUAGGUGCCUACAGAGCAGGUUUUGAUAUCUCCUUGUAUGUCUGUCAGGUACCGGAAUUGGAAGNNNNNNNNNNNNNNNNNNNNNNNNNNNNNNNNNNNNNNNNNNNNNNNNNNNNNNNNNNNNNNNNNNNNNNNNNNNNNNNNNNNNNNNNNNNNNNNNNNNNAAUUCCAAAGUCCUUGGAACUGCUAACCAGUUAAAACAUUAGCCCAUUAAGCUUCUUCUAAGCAUCAUUUUCCAUGUACUCUGUUUUUCCCGGAUAAUUUUUAGAAGCUCAUCAUGUUGCCCGCCUAGGUGCCUACAGAGCAGGUUUUGAUAUCUCCUUGUAUGUCUGUCAGGUACCGGAAUUGGAAGCUUGAUCGUUGGCCUUUUGUCCUAUCUGAUCCACCUGAAAAGGCAAAAUGCUUCUCUCACGUUCCAUUUAAGAAACACCAGUUCAUGUCCUAAUUCAAAUUCAGACAUGGGAGAGAGAAGUGUCCACUUUGAGGUCCCCAUUUUCACUAGUUCUGAACUCGUAAAAGCCACAAUUAACUUCUCAGCUUCCAAUGAAGUUGGGGAUGGCGGUUUCGGAACUGUUUACUAUGGUAAGGAAAGUUCAUUUCUCUUUUUUUUUUUUUUUUUUAUCAGAUUUUUCCCUCUUGUUAAAGGAUGACGAAUUAUAUUUAAAGACUUUUUGUUCAAUUUGGUAACAGGAAAACUCCAAAACGGACAGGAAGUAGCGGUCAAGCGCCUAAACAAGCACAAGCACCUGAGGGUGAAGCAGUUCGUGAAUGAAGUAAAGAUUCUCACCCGCUUGCGCCACAAAAACCUCGUCUUGCUUUACGGUUGCACAUCCCACCACAGCCAUGAACUUCUACUCGUCUAUGAGUAUGUCUCCAAUGGCACUGUGGCUGAUCAUAUCCACGGAAGAAAAGCAAAACUCACCAUGUUGCCUUGGCAUGCCCGUAUGAGGAUUGCCAUAGAGACCGCCACUGCAUUAGCUUACCUCCAUGCUUCUGACAUUAUACACUGUGAUGUGAAGACUAAUAACAUCCUUCUCGACAAGAAUUUUAGUGUUAAAGUUGCAGAUUUCGGGCUUUCCAGGCUGAUCCCUAAUGAUGUCAGUCAUAUCUCAACAGCUCCUCAAGGAACUCCAGGUUACGUGGACCCCGAGUAUCAUCAAUCCUACCAACUUACUGAGAAAAGCGAUGUUUAUAGCUUUGGGAGUCGUUCUGAUUGAGCUUAUAUCAUCCAAGACAGCCGUGGAUGUAAGCAGGGCAAGGCAUGAGAUUAAUUUGGCCAAUUGGGCUGUCAACAAGAUUCAGAAAUGCGCAUUUGGUGAACUGCUCGACCAGACUCUAGGAUUUGAUUUAGAUGACGAAAUUUAUAGGAUGACAACUUCAGUGGCUGAGCUGGCGUUCCGGUGCUUGCAACAGGACAGGGAGAUGAGGCCUUCAAUGGACGAGGUUUUGAAGGAACUGAAGGCAAUUGCGAGUGGCGACAAAGCUGCGGAUGAAUUUGUUGAUGUUGACGAGGAUGAAAAUGUCCUAGCAUCUCCCCCGGAUUAUGACGAUGUCCAGCUAUUGAAGAAUAUGCAACUGACACGUUCUCCUGUUUCUGUGACUCAAAAAUGGAAUAGCAGCAGCAGUUGUUCCGCUCCCAGCGUUCAAGUUUAAUUUGAAUUUUUCAUGAGCUGCCAGUACAUACUUUGCAUGUAAGCGAGUGGUUAUGUAUAUUGCACCUGAGGUGCCAGGGUUUAUGGUUGGGCUAAUAUCCGCAUGAAUGUACUCCAUAUUAAGCACAUUUUGUCGAUCUCAUUUGCAAAUGAUAUGGAAUGACAUACAGUGUUAUCUACUUCAUCUUUUUGCUUCUGUACUCUUUAGAAUCAAGAAUUUAACCUACUUCCUCUUUGAUAAGAUAGUAAAGCGAGGAGAGGAGAGACGACUGACAUAAUUAUCUAUUGAGCGUUAUCUUAAUGGUUGCACAUUUGGCCAUGGAUAUCUCAAUAUCUCUAGUUGUCAACAAGAGACGAAAACACGGAUGCAAUGUCAACAUAUCAGUAAUGCAUUGUAACUUUUCUGGUUCUCAAGCUGAAAUUAAGUGCCAUGUAAAAUCAGCCAAUAUGGCUUUGCUCAUGCUGUUGCACCACACAUUUACCAAUUUAUGAAUGUACAAAACAUUGAGUGGCGCUGCUCUAAGGUAAAUUAGNNNNNNNNNNNNNNNNNNNNNNNNNNNNNNNNNNNNNNNNNNNNNNNNNNNNNNNNNNNNNNNNNNNNNNNNNNNNNNNNNNNNNNNNNNNNNNNNNNNNUGCAUUUAAUGAAGGACUACAAUCCUUUCUAAACAAUACAAUUAUCAAAACAGAAAAUGCCUUACAUCAGAAAAUCUAAUUAACUUCUGCAGCUAGCUGCUCUUUUUUUCCACAUAGAGCUAAGUGGGUUGGCUUACAUGAGUGGGUCGCUGGGACACUCCACUAUUUACUCCCACUUCAGCUCCUUGGGUUUCUGGUUGGCGAUGGGAUUGGGAAUGGGAAUGGGAAUAGAUAGAUAGUGCAUGUAUUUUGUCUGGAGGUAAUACUUGUUGCAAAAAUCUAUGUACCGUCUCAUAACUGGUAAACAUAACAAUGGCGUACGGAGUAGUCCUCAGUAAUUUUGUGGCACAGCCUCGAUAAAAUUUAGAAAUACCCUCCUUCUGAAAUACUUCCUUUAAAAGAGAGAAUUAUGAAACAAUAUAACUCUCCAGUCCAGAAAAAGAAAAAAUACCUCAAGUGGAUAAGUUAUGAUGGAGGCAGUGAGCUUAGAUACUGUGGCAGCAAUGGCUACACUUCCGUGGCCAAGUUGAUCGACAGUUGUAUUGUCUGGAAACAAAUUACAGGCAAAAAGCAAUAACUAUGUCGAAAUAAAAAAAUAAAAAAAUAAAAAUACAAAAAAAUACAAAAAAUAGCAACAAAUAAUGGAACCACUUAGAACAAGCAUAUACCUUUUCUCACUAUGUAAUGUCUGAUCUUUCUUUCGACCAAAAAAAAAAAAAAAAAAAUGUCUGAUCUUCUCAUAUGCUGGAAACUGAAUUGCAACGUGACUUUAGUCCAACCAGUGAUGGGAGAAUGCCACUGUUCCAAAGAAAGUAGGGAAAAUUGUACAAAUAAAAAUUGAAAUAUUCCUCAUAGAAUGUCUGGAAUUGGGAAUUGCUCCUAGCAGAUGUAAAAACUGACCUAUACAAACCACAGAGACCUUCCUCACAUGCAAUCCUGCUUAAAGCAGAACAUACGCUUAUGUAAGGAACCACUUCUGGUCUCUUUCCCUGUGUCUACAAUAAGAGGCAACUGAAUUUCAUAGGUAAAGUCUUAAAAGAUGAUCCUUCACUUAGCACAUAGAGGAUAUAUGCCCAUUGCAAAUAGACUGCAGGACUUUAGACAGAGAAGACAAACAUGGAAUUACUAUUCUCCGUAACAUCUCAACUUUCUCAUAAAAAAAUUUUGCAAUGUUUACCAAACAUAAGCAAGAGAGCUGAAAAAAUCAUUUGCACAAAUUAUAUUGCGCUUUCUGCGGUUAUAUUGUGACUUCUGGGGUAAUAUUCUGAAGUUACCCAAGCCAAGCGACAAGGUCAAAUAUGAGAUAUCAAGAAUAACUGAAACUUGGCAUCGUGCAAUUAUUUUUUUUGUCUGAAACUCUCAUCAUAGAGGAACUCACUAAGGCAGAAUACCCACUGAUCAGCUCACUUGAAAUCUGAUUACUACAACCCAUAAAGUAUUUGUAGUGAUUGCUGUGGCAGCUCCAGCGCCCACAGCAGCAAUCAUGAUGGCACCGGUGCUUGCUUGAUUGCCAUUGUCAACUGCAUCCAAAGACAUUGAGUGCUUUAUAAGGUCAAACAACAGAGUAUACAUGAAUGGACUUCAUUUCCAACAUAUAUAAUCCAUAGUUGCUGAUAAAAUGUAUUCAAUGAAAAGCUUCAAUCUAGGAGAUCCAUUACUAAGUAAAUGAUACUUUGAAAAGCAACCAUUUGAAUGGACUAGGCCCUUAAGUCUCUCGUAUACCGGAAAGAAGACCUGCAUAUAAAUAAGCAUUCUGUCAUUUGAAAGAGCAUAUAAAGCAAACACAUUAUUAUCACAUGCAUCACAUUAUGUGAGACAAAAUCAUUUUAACCUGUAAAAAUCAGCAACUUGCAAAGGUCCAGCGGAUCAUCUAAGAUGAUAGAAUGAACUCCAGAUUGACUAAUAAGAUGUGAAAUUGAUUGCGUACUAAAGAAACUUGUUUUCCUAACACCUGACUUCCUCGAGUAUAAAUAAAUUGUGUGUAUAACAUGCAUAUAUAAGAUAUGCAGGAUACAAACAGGGUUCCCCAUCUCCCAGAUAAGAAAUUAGCACUGUAGAUAUUUCUCCCAGCCACCAAUUCUUUUAUGGAAGGAGAGGAACAUAUAGUUGCCUCACUCCAUAUGUGUUGUUGUUUAGAGACUAUGUCCCAGCUUAUUUCCACUAUGAACUGAUUGUGAAGUAUUUACUGCAAAAACUUUGUGGCUGAGCACCCUUUCCCUUUGUGUACUUACCCGACAUUGACUUAAGUAAAAGGUGAUUAUGGUAAGAAUGACAUCAGUUGACAGUGGCGGUAUAACAACUAACAAGAUGUGGUUACUGACCAGCAUUGUCACUCAAUCUUCACCAAUAGACGAUUAUAUACGCGACUGCCUUAUCACUAAUCACUAUUUGAUAGACAAAAAUUCGUAAUAGAUGGCAAUUAGGUUCGAAGCUGUUGGCGAGAAAAUCAGCAUAACAAAUUCUUAUCGACAAUAGCAACAGAUGCAAUCUAAUUUUCUUGCACUGACUAAAACUAAUAAUUUCAGUCAAUAGAAGAAAAUAGUAGUACUACUCACAGCCCAGUUCGGAAGAAGAGCCAGAAUUGUUGGUAAGAGACCGUGGUACAGUCCCUUCACGCCUUCCUGCUUUAUUAUGUACUGAAAGCUUGUGAUUAUAAUGCUUCCUGCGUGUAAAUGGGAAAAAGAUAAGACUUGAACAGUUAGGUAAACCCAAAAACUGUUUCAGAAGCACUGAUAGCUUUUCUGAGUAAUUAUAAGUAAUAGUUCCAGAAAGAGAGCAAAAAAAGAUGUGCAAGAUUUAAUCAUAAGAGUUUUGAGGCAUUCUCAAGGUCAAAAUGUUGCAAAAGUAGACAAGAUAAACAGUUGAAGUUCAAUGGUGAAGGAUAGCCAUUCAAUCAAUUAAUCGCAUAAUAUUAGGUUGACUAUACUCUAGUAUCAUUAUGACAUUCUCUUUCCUUUUUCAUUUACCUAUUUGUGCUUUCUGCACAGUUACCAUCUUCAACCACUGUCAAUGUACUAUUCUCCGUUAAUUCUACCUAUAAGUAAUAUGUUGUUCUUUCGCCUAUCAGGGAAACUUGAAAAAUGUCACUUUUUAUGCAUCACACCUAUCUGAUGUAAAACCCGACGAAUUCACACCUCAUAAGGAUGGCAAGAUCUACAAAUGAAACAGAUAUUAGAAUUUGGAUGAAAGUAAAGAUGAAAGGAAAUGUCACCUCUUAAUUCUUCUCACAUCAUUCAAAAUCACUUAAUCUUCCUGAUUGUGUGUUACUAAUCCUAGAGCAAUUCCAUGAAAGAAUUCAAAUACCAGAUUCCACCCAGUGAAAAAAGCCCCUGUUGCACAUAUCAGUCAAAGUCGCUACCGUUCUAAUUUCACUACUGAAGACAAUUAACAGUUAUAAACUAUUUCAAUUGGGCAACAGUGGACUUUGAAUCAACCAGUUGUUGAGAGAUUGCUUUUAGAAGAUAAAAAAAAGAAUUCCCAUCAACUUAUGAUUUAUCCAAAUAAAUCCUAAAGAUCAAAUAUAGAAGAAACCUCUGUACAUUUUAGAAUGUACAUCAACACUCAAGCAAAGGUUUGCAUGCCAGACUGGAUAAACAGGAAAAUCGGUUGCUAGAGGAAGAAAGGGAUGGGUGAGUGCGUGGAAAAGUACUUUCCGCAGGUCAUGCGAAUUGGCAAAUUUGCAUGAAAUUCCUUGUUGAACUAUAACUACACCAGUAGGAUAGAAGUAGACCUAAGAAAACCUCCAUGCCAUUAAAAUGGCUAAAUCAAGGAGGAUUUUUCUUCACUGAACCAAUGGUUUGAAAUCCAUUAUACGAAUAUUUCCGAUGCGAAUAUCGCAUCCUUGAUCCUAGGUGAAACAUAUUAAUAAGAAUAUUAAAUUUACUCAGACUCUGGUGCCCUCAUUGAAAGAUCUUAACAAGCUGGUAAAGAAUAGUCUGCCUUUGUCUUGAUUCCAUGAAAGACAGGAGUCGUACCUCAUCAUUUCAAAGCACAAAACUGGAAUGUAGCCAACAGACGGACAACCCUAGAUUCUUGACAAGGGCAACUUUGACAACUUCACGCAGGACGGACAUGGGGCAAAGCGAAUAGCAAAUGGGAGUGCUUAGGUACUGUUUGACUGCUACUUGGCUCUGCUGGAACUCUUUAGGCACAUUCCCUUGCCCUUUUUAGUUUGAUAGGUGACGCCGCCAUUGCCCUUAGCCACGUAUUACCUUAAGUUGUUACUAAACUACACCAGAGAGAAUUUAAGACUCUAUAGAACGAGUGUACACGGAGACUUGAGGGAGCCAAGCAAGCCGUUCAUCAAAGAUAGUUCAAAUUCCUAAUAUCGGCGGACAAUCUUUAUUAGUAAGACUCUGGCUGAAGCAAUGCCUUCCUCUCAACUAACACUGAUGUAACUAAGCACAGAAUGAACUGAAUUUCCCUAAGAGAUCUAUGUAAUGGGUCUAAGUACUGAAUGCAGGCAAAACAACCAUGUGACCAUGCAUUCAUCAAUCCAGGUAGAAUUCUGACAGCCCAAAUGAACCCUCUCCCCGUUAACUCGCUAGAGCCAGCAGUGCUCAAGACCCUGUUGUUAGCAGCAAAAUCCACUCUGGCUUCUGCGUACUAAAGUAGCCGUUCAUCUGAAACUUCUUACGAAGUCCCACUCAUUGUGUCCACUUUAGCUCAUGCAGUCAAAUUUAGAUGUCUGUUUGUAAUGCAAUAUAAUAAAUGAUUUGUAUAACUAGCACUAGCAGAUAUGUUAUAAAGCAAAUAGAAAGGUCCAACUAAUUUAAAGAAACCUACUUUGAUCGCAGUUCAACUUCGAUCCGUUUUGACUCUAUAUUCAGAUUUGGUCUCCGUUAACUUUGUGUCUAAUGUUGUUGUUCAAGGCGUGACAUGUCAAUAUCAAAUAUAUAUCUCUCCCCCCUUGUGUCACUAGUGGAAAUUCAGCUCAAUUCCAUUUUCUUUUUCCAAGAAAAAUCUUAUUUUCCUCGCAGCCCCUGUUUACCAAAUGGCUCAAGCUCAAUUCCGGGUCGCUCGGAUCUUAAUCUCAUCACCUCAUAUAUAAGCCCGCGCGCCUCAACCGCGGUCGGUAACCGUUGUUAGUGGAGGUCGACCAUGAAAAACUGGAACCAGAAUAAGGGUCUUCGCCGCGCUCGCCAGGGAUGCUUCAGACGACCGUCAACCGUCGCAGAAGGAUCAGCGGAGGUCUAGUUGGCGAUGGGUGAAAGCCGGGGAAGCUGCGACCGAGUGAGUCCGCGCAAAGAAACGAUGAACGGUGACGAGGAGGAGCUCGGGCGACGGAGGAGGAAGAAGACCGAGCUUGUGAGUGGAUGGACGGUGCAUGAAACUGCAAUUUUGGGCGUACGCUGAAAGUAAUCAAAGUCUCUAAAUUCGUUGGGUGAAGGCUGAUUCGAGACGAUGGAGGUGGUUGGAUUUAAGGUUCCGCUGGAAAAGUACGGUGGUGUUCACUGAGUACCCGUGUGAAGAUUUUAUUAUGAGCCACAAAUCAUUGAAUAAGUGUAUUCAUAAUAAUUUAGAAUUAUUUAUUAUUAAAAUUUUAAUUCUCAUAAUAAAUUGAAGAUUGUCUUCAAAUCAUUUCUUAAUUUAGCCUCCAUGGAAAAUCCGAGAUUGAGGUGAAUGAAGGAAAGAAAAUUACAUUUUUCUUUUAAAAAAAAAGAAAAAAAGUAUCCUAUUAAGCUGAAAGCACCUAAAUAUGGAGUGAAGCUGGUGAAAUCGAGUUAGAAUUGGGAUACAAUCUAAAAUUUAUAUUUUUUCAAAAGAAUUUCACCUAAAUCGAAAGAAAUUCCUCCUCAAGGAACAAAACUUGGAGGGCCAGUUUCCAAUUUCCGUGAUUAGAGCCGCACUCCCUCCCCAAAAGCCAGGAGGAAAUGAUUUAAUGGAAGAGCAUAUGUCUUUUGAACUAUACAAAUGCAUUUCACAAAGAAAUUGAGCUGUCUGUCUCCCCUUGUUCAAUAGCUUGUUCUCUUCCUUCUACAGCUAAAACCUCAUGAAGCUCAAACAAGCCCACCUCGAUCUUGAUCCACAAAGCAAGAAAAAAGGUCCAUUCUCGUCAAGAGGUAGCUGCAUCUUCCAGGAAAGAUCAUACCUUUGUGCCCAGCGGGAACGCCGUGGACCUAAAGUCUCGUCUUGGUGCCAUCCAAGGGACAAACGAAGGUGGCCGCGAUGGUACCUGCGGCAAGUCAUAUCAACCACCGCUCACAAACCAGCUAGAAAAACCAGCAAGACCCAUCAUCGCUACUGAAACGACGGAGCUAGGAAUUUCGAAGUUGAUAAGCGCACCUGCAGCUGCACCGGCACAGGCUUUGCAGAGGUCAUCUCGAGCGUCCCAGCUUGCGGCGACGUGUGAAGCUCCGCCCAUCCUCAAGCUCCGCCUCCAGGAGAAUCUUGAUGAUUUCAAGGAACUUGGAGCGAAAACGCAAUGCAGAUCUGCCUGAAAACUUGGCUUACCGAAUUCGAUCAAUCCACAUAUAUAAUGAACAUAGACAGAGAGAGGGGGGAAAUUCGGGGGAAAGCAAAGUCCUCCCAUACGUCAAUUAAUAACUUUCUUAUGUUAAAAAGGUUCGUUUGCCGUCGCUGGCGGGCUUUUCCUUUCCUCACGCGUGAGACACUUGGAAUAAGAUCUUUCCUCACUUCUGUGCGCUUGUUAUACAAGUGGAAUAAUUAUAUCCAUACAGCCAAGUUUAUCGGUACAUCUGCGGUGCAAUUUCGCUUCAACUUCCCUGAAAUCGUCAGGAUUCUUCUGAGGAUUGACCAGAGAUUCGCACGGCACCGGUGGCAUUAGCACUCAGAUUUUUUCUGCCAUGCUGGUGCCAGUGCAGCUGUAGGUUCGCUUAUUAGAUUCAGGUGACCUAUUUCUGCAUGCUCGUUGAUUGCCGCACUGUAUGGUAGCUAGUGGUUCUGGCUUUCGUAGCUGGGUUGUGAGCGGACGUUAAUAUGACUCGCAGGUGCUAUUGCAUCCGUCUUUGUUUUCCCAUGGAUGUCAUUGAGACGAGACUCCAGGUCCGCGGCGUUCCCUCCAGCCACAAAGGUAUGAUCUUUCUUGGAACAUGUAGUUGCUGCUUGAUGAGAAUUAACUUUUUCUCGCUUUGUUGCUGAAGAUUGAGACGGGUUUGGUGGAGCUACUGAGGACAAACUAUUGUACAAGGGCAAUGCUCUUUUAAUUUGUGAAUUGCAGUUGUAAAGUUCACAUUUGAACCUCAACCUCUUGGCAAGGAAGGCAGUGCUCUACCAUUAAGCAAUUUCCUCCUCCGAUCGGGGGAGGGAGUGCGGCUAUAGCACGGAAAUUGGAAGUGGCCGUCCAAAUUUUAAACUAUCGAUGGUUUUUUGAGUUAUGCUUUUGUAGGUGCAAUUUCUUUCAAUUUGCUGUAUAGUGUAUCCACUAGAUAUGCAAAUUCACUAUAACAAAUUGCCGUAUGGACAUCUAGAUUUUACCGCAUGAUCCAAAACAGACAGAACGACAAGAUUAAACUUAAAUUAUCCUGACCAAAAAAAUAAAAAAUAAAAUAAAAACUUAAAUUAUGGGAAUUUGCAUGAAGUUAAGAUGAAGGACGACUGCAGAGUGUAGAAGCCAUGAGUGGAUUUUGCCGAUAGGAAUGGAUCUCAACAAGUUCAGUGUGUAGGAGCUGUUGAGAUAAGACGGACAUCAUUAGUAAUUAGCCUGGACAGCCCGAAAUCUGCAACUUUGACACUAUAAUGCUUGUUGAAAAGGAUGUUAUUAGUUGUCACAUGAUGUGGAGUGACGUAGUUUUAUCUACUUAAUUUAUUUGCCUCUGUACUCCUUAGAAUCGAGAAUUCAACAUACACUACAACAUAAUACUUUCUCUUUGAAGUGGAGACACCUCAAAUAUCGUAAAGUUGGCAUCUCAAUGAUGCAUUGUGAUUUUGGGUUCUCCAAAUGAAAUAAGAGCCGUGUAAAAAUCAGCCCGCAAGUUGCUCGCUCAUGUUGUUGAGCUAAGCAUGCACCUAUCAAUGAAGGCACAAAAAUAUUAAGAGCGGAGCUGCUCUAUGGUAAAUCAAUAGUGCUUAAAAUAAGACAUCUCGCCCAUACUCAAAAAUCAGACAAGUACAAAAAUCAAAAGACAGCCCCUACCCAACAAUGGGUUAAAAAUAAAGCAACAAAAGAUUAUUCACCUCCGCAUUUAAAUUAAGCAUUACAAUUUGGAACAUAUAUAAAAAAAAAAAAUUAUCAAAAUCGGAAAAUGGAAUACAUCAGAAAAUCUAAUCGACUUAUGCUGUUAGCUGAUCUUUUCUUUCCCUAUGGAACCAUGUGGGUCGGCUUAUGUGAGUGGGUCUGCGAUUGUUGAGAGACUCCACCAUUUUUUCCCUCUUUAGUUCCCGGGGUUUCUGGUCGGGGAUGGGAUUGCGAAUGUCUUUCGUCCGGAAGUAAUACUUGUGCCAAAAAUCUAUGUAUCAUCUCGUAACUGGUAAAUGUAAUAACAGCGGAUGGAAUAGUCCUUAUUAAAUUUGUAGCACAGCCUCGAUAAAACCCAGGGAUACCCUCCUUCCGAAAUACUUUCCUGACACAAUCAACAACUCCAACAUACCGAACCUUAGCUCCAUGUCCCUGCUCUUGCAACCGGGAACGUACCACCUGAAUAGACAAAGUUUUAAUCAGUUCCUUGUGCACACAAACACAAGCAAAUAGGUGAAAGUUACAUGCGAUGCUUUCACUGAAUAUAGAGAAUUAUGAAAAAAUAUUAGUCUCCAGUCCAGAAAAGACAAAUACCUCAUGUGGAUAAGUAACGACGGACGCAGUGAGCUUAGAUAUUGAGGAGGCAAUUGCUACACUUCCGGCACUAAGUUUAUCGACAGUUGUAUUAUCUGGAAACAAUUACAGACAAAAGGCAAUAACUGUGUCAAAAUCACAAAAAUACAAAAACAAAACUUUCAUGCACCCACUUAGAACAAGCAUAUACCUUUUUUCGCUAUGUAACAUUUGAUCUUCUCAUAUGCUGGAAACUGAAUCGCAACAUGGCUUACUCCUACCAAUGACGGGAGGAUGCCACUGUUCCAAAGGAAGAAGCAGGGGGAAAAGCACCAAUAAAUGAAAUAUUCCUGAUAGAAUGUCUGGACAAUUCCAAGCAGCAGCAAAAACUGACCUAUACAAACCACGGAGACCUUCCUCACGUACAAUCCUGCAUAAAGCAGAAGGCACGCCUGCGUAUGGGACCACGUCUGGCCUCAUACCCUGUGUCUACAAUAAGAAACGCAACUUAAUGCCGUAAGUGAAGUGUAAAAGCAUAACCCAUCAAUCAGCACAAUCCUUACAUUUUUACUUUUCUAGCAGUGACCAGCUGUUAAAAUUAACAACAGCAAACAGGAAUUAUCUUAUGAACCUAGAUAUUUCAAAUACAAGGAUCACAGAAGAUAUAUGCCCAUUCCAAAUAAACUGUGAGACUUAUAGAUGGAGAAGACAAAACAGCUGAAAUCAUUUGCAGAAAGUAUAUCAUGACUUCUAGGGCUAGUUUCUGAAGUUAUCUAAGCCAGCAACCAGGUCAAAUGAAAUCAUUUGCAGAAAGUAUAUCAUGACUUCUAGGGCUAGUUUCUGAAGUUAUCUAAGCCAGCAACCAGGUCAAAUCUGAGUAUCAAUAACUGAAGCUCGGUGUGGUGCAAUUAUUUUGUAGCCUAAAACUCUAGUCAAAGAGGAAACUCACUAAGGCAGAAUAACCACUGACCAACUUACUUGGAGUCUGGUUUUUACAACCCAUAAAGGAUUUGUAGUGAUUGAUGUGGCAGCUCCAGCCCCCACAGCAGCUAGCAUGUUGGCACCCGUGCUUACUUGAUUGCCAUUAUCAUCUGCAUCCAAAAUCAUUCAAUGCUUUAUAGGACAAAGUAUACAUUAUUAAACUUCAUUUUAACAUAAAUAAUUCCCAAAUGCUGACAAAAUGUAUUCAACAAAAUGCUUAGAUUCAGGAAUUGUUAAGCAAAUAAUUAUUUGAAAACCAACCAUGUGAAUGGACUAGCCCCUUAAGUCUCUCGUAAACUGUGAAGUAGACCUACAUAUAAAUGAGCAUUCUGUCAUUUAAAAGAGCAUAUAAAGCAAACACAUCAUAUCUUGCAUGCAUCAUGUAAUGUGAGACCAAAUCAUUUGUAAAAAUCAGCCUUGCAAAGGUCCAGCAUUAUCCAAGAUGAUAGAAGGAACAUCCCAGAUUGACUAAUGAGAUGUAAAAUUGACCACAGCAGAAUAUUCUUACAUGGCAAUUCUGUUUUCCUAAACUGUAAAGAAGCUUGUCUUCCUAACCAUUGUCUUUGUAGAGAAGAAAUAAAUUGUGUGCAUAACACGCACAUAUAAGAUAUGUAGAGUCCAAAAAGGGUUCCUUAUCUACCAGCUUAGAGCCACCAAUACUUUUAAUUCAUGAGAGUAACACACAGUUUCCUCACUCCACAUAUGCCAUUGUUUAGAGACCAUGUCCCAGCUUACUUCCACUAUAAAUUGAUUAUGAAGCAUUAACUGCAAGAACUUUGUGGCAGAGCAUGCUUUUCCUUCUGUAAUUACCAGUUGUCUAUUUAGUAAAAGGUGAUUAUAGUUAGAAAGGUAUAAGCUAACAUUAGUGGUGCAACAGCCAAUAAGAGGUGGUCACUGAACAGCACUGCUACCUAGUCUCAACUAACGGAUGAUGAGAUACGUGGUUGCCCAAUCAGAUGAUAACCAGUCUGCAAGCUGUUGUCUAGAAAAUCAGCACAACAUUCCUAUCUACCGACAGAUGCAAGCUAAUUCCGUACACAGACUAGAAUUAACUAGUCUAGUCAAUAGAAGAAAAAAUAACAAUACUCACAGCCCAGUUCGGAAGAAGAGCCAGAAUUGUUGGUGAGAGGCCGCGGUACAGUCCCUUCACGCCUUCCUGCCUUACUAUGUUCCGUAGGCUUGUGAUUAUAAUGCUUCCUGCGUGUCAAUGGGAAACAGAUGGAACAGCAACAUACUACAUAAGACAGAACUAGUAAAAACUUGAAGAGACAGGUAAACCUAAAAAUUGUUUCAGGAGCAUUGAUUGCUUUUCUAAGUAAUCACAAGUAAUAGUUCAAGAAGAAGAGCAAAAAAAGAUGUACAAGAUUUAAUCAUAAGAGUUUUGAGGCAUUCGCAAGGUCAGCAUGUUGAAAAAUAUGCAAGAUAGACAGUUGAAGUUCAAUGGUGGGAGGAUAGGUGCAUAUUAAGUCGGCACAAAAGACAAUCCUGGAAAAUUUCAGAUGCCAUUCAAUCAAUUAGUUGCAUAAUACUAGGUCGACCGUACUCUGGUAUUCGUAUGACAAUCUUUUUCUUUUUCCUUUUCCAUUUGCCUGCUUGUGCUAUUCAAGCAGUUACCAUUUUCAACCACCGUAAUCUACCAUUCUGACUUGAUACCACCUAUAAGUAAUAGGUAUUGCUCUUUUGCAAAUCAGGGAAACUUGAGACAUGUUGCUUUUUACAUCUAACACCCUGUCAGGUGUAAAACCCCACAAAUUCACACUUCACGAGGUUGGCAAGAUCUACAUAUGAGACAGAUAUUAAACUUUGGAUGAAAGUAGAGAUGAAAUGAAAUGCCACCUCUUAUUUCUUCUCACAUCAUUCAAAAUUAUUAAGACCCCCUCUGUGUGUGAUACUAAUCCUAGAGCAACUCCCUCAAAGAAUUCAAGUAGCUGACUCCACACCAAUGGAAAAAGGCCCGGGUGCUACUAUUUCUACAUAUCAGCCAAAGUCAUGGCCUCUCUAAUUUCACUAUUUGAAGACAAUAAUCAGUUAUAAAAUAUUUCAAUCUGGCAACAGCAGACUUUGAAUCAACCAGUUGUGAGGAAAACCUCCCUGCCAUUAAACUGCGUAAAUUUUUUUUUUUUUUUUUUGGUCGCAAAAACUGGAUAAAUUAAAGGAGAAUACUUAUACAAUAAAUCAAUGGUUCGAAAUCCAAUUAGAUGUAGAUGUCCCUUGCAAAUAUUGCACUCUUAAUCCUAGGUGAAAGAGUUUAACAAAAAUUCUAAAUUCUCCUAAGAUUCUGCUCUCCUCAAUGUAAGAUCUUAACAAAUUUUCUAAAGAAUAGUUACGUAUAGGCAUAUUCUUUGUUGGUUAAAUUGGCAAUAGGAGAAGGCCACAAAUGGCCAUUGAAACAGGAUCAUAAUCAAGACUCUACCCCAAUAUUCAAUGGACAAAGUACCUAGAAGAAAAACACCAGCCUUAAGCUUGAUUUUGUUAAUGACAGAAUUGUGUCUCAUCAUUUCAAAGCACAAAAUCAGAAUAAAGCAAACAGAGGGCUGACCCUAGGUUCUUGACAAAGGCAACCUUGACAACUUCAUGUGGGGAAAUUGGGCAAGGUAAAUAUAUAGGCAAAGGGACUCUUAAAAGCGGACUUAGGAAGAGCUCUGGUUACUAUUUGACUGGUACUUGGCUCUUCUUGAACUCUUUAGGCACAUUCCCCUUGCACUUUUUCAUUUGAUAGUUGAUACCCCCAUUGCCCUUAACCAUGUAAUCACUCAUUGGUGUUACUCAACUAAACCAGAAAAAUUAUGAGACUAUAUUGAAUCGUAUAUAUAGGGUUGGGAGAGCCAAGUAAGCUGUUCACUAAAAAUAGUUCAAAUUCCUAAUAUAGGCCAAGAAUCUUCAUUAGGAAGACUCUAACUGAAGCACUUCCCUCCUCUCUAUUACACUGAUGGAAUUAAGCACAGAAUGAACAGAAUUUCCCUGAGAGAUUUAUGUAAUAGAUUUAAGUACUAAAUGCAGGCAAAACAACCAUCUGACCGUGCAUUUAUUACCAAACUCUUUAACUUGUGAUAAAUUUAUAUGGGACCCUUGCAAAAUUCUUGUUGGUGUUAUUCUUACUGCAUGUUUUUGUCAACCCAGCUAGUAUCCUCACACACCAGAUGAACCCUCACCCUAUCAACUUGCAAGAGCCAGUAGUAGUCAAGACAUAUUACUAUAAGGAAAAUCCACUCAUGGCUUCUGCGCACUGAAGUCCUUCAUCUAAAACUUCUUGCAAAUUCCCAUAAUUUAUGUUAACCUUGUCCUUUGGUCUGUUUUAGGUUAUGCAGUAAAAGUUAGAUGUCCAUACUGGAAUUUAGUAAAUGAAUUUGUACAUCAUGAGUUUAGUAAUUGAAAGAAAUUGCACCUAGAGAAACAAAACUCACAAAACUAUCGACAAUUUAAAAUUUGGAUAGCAGCUUCCAAAUUCCAUAUGAUAGCCACACUCCCUCCCCCAAUAGCUGGAGGAAAUUGCUUAACAGUAGAGCAUAGCCUUCCUUGCGAAGAGGUUGACUUUCGAGCGUGAAUUAUAUACUACAUUUCACAAAGAUAAAAAGCAUCUUCCCUUGACCAGUAGCUUGUCGUUUAACUUCUACAGCUAAGCACCAGUAGCUCAAACAAGCCCCACCUCAGUCUUCAUCCCCAAAGUAAGGACUGCAUAUUUUCGAAGAAAGAUUGUACCUUUAUGACCGGAGGGAACGCCAUGGACCUGUAGCCGCGUCUUGAUAACAUCCAAGGGACAGACGAAGGUGGCCGCAACAGCACCUGCAAGUCAAAUUCACAACCAAAUUCACAAACCAGCUACCAAACCAGAAUCCCGACCUACCAACCAACCAACGCAUCAAUCAACAAAGGCACGCAAAAAAAUCAAGCCAUUCGACCAAAUUCCCCCAAUCUUCCCCGCAGCAUGAAGAUUGCCAGUAGCAUCGGCAAAGACCGCAACCCCCGAAACAAAAAAACGGAACCAAGAAUCCCGGCGCCGGACAGAGAGCUCACCUGCGGCCGCGCCGGCAGCGGCAUGGCAGAGGAUAUCGCGGGUGCUGCUGCCGUGGGCGGCGUGCGAAGCGUCGAGCUCUCCGCCCCGCCCCGCCCCGCCCCGCCCCGGCCCGCCGCGCCCUCCGCACUCUCGCUUCAGAAGAAUCCCGACGGGUUCGAGAACCGGAAGCCAAAUCGCAUCGCAGAUCUGCCCACGCACUUGGCUAUACGGGCUCGAUUCCCCGGCAUAUAUAUAAGCCGGCGAGCGCGCCAGGAGAAGACCGGGGGGCGGGGGUGAAAUUCUGGGGAAAAGACUUGUUCGAAGGGUUUGACACGUUUGAUUCGGUCUACGGAAGGGAAUGGCGAGACGCCAUUGUGACCGGGCGAGGGGAGGAACGAGGAAUCGGCCGGAGGAAUGGUCGGGUCGCGUCGCGUCGAUUUUCGGCAACUACGAAGAAGAGGGGGAAGCGGAAGGGGAAGGAAUCGAUGGGGGAUCGGUGCGGUCUUUUUGUGUCUGAAUUAUUAUCUCUCUCUGCUUUUGGGGGAAUCCAAAAGGAGAAAAAGGAAAGGGGGAAAAUUCGGGGUGACGAGACUUUGGUACUUAUUGAGAAGUUGCGGUCCAUACCAUAGGAAUCUCAAAGCAUAUGGUUUGACGGCUUUUGCGUUUAUCUCGUUUUUGGACUAUCGAGAGACCAGUCAAUAUUUUCUGCGAGAGAGAAUUUGGGUCUGACCCAAAGAAAAAACCCAGAAAUUUAGAGCAUUGCUGCUCCCGUCUUUUUCCUUACUUUGAAUGGAAGACCCUAGCAAUAAUCAAUGAAAAAAGUGAAGGGCAACAACUUUCUAGGGUAUACGUUUAUUGAAAAUCAUAUUAAAUUACCAUAAUAGAUGGUGUCUAUGCUUUGAAUUUGAAUUUGGAUUUGGAAUGCUUGUGAGGAUGUUUCGCAUCAUCUACUCCGAAAAAUUUAUAAGGAAACUCACUGUAAUUUGUUAUCAACCUAAUUUUCAAUGUUCCCUCUCAAUCUUCAUCAUCCGAGUUCAAUUCAGUUCCUCAUGUAACAUCUUGAACUUUUUAGGUUAAUAAUUAGUAAAUUAUAUCAAUACUAAUUAAGAUCUUGAUCUCUUAUAGAUAUCUAGAUAUUUUGUGGGCUAAGUGAAAAUAUGAGGAUUGCAUCAAUUUGUUUUUGAGUUUUUUUUAUGCCUUUAGUUUAAGGGAUUUGAGUGUAGUGAUUAAGUUGCGUGAUAAAGUUUGAUUAGAAGGAGAUCUUUUGAUAAUUGUUGCGGCAGAUUAAGAUUCUUAAGUAGAUAAUCCCUUUGGUUGACGUGUUUAUUUAGAUUUCAAUGAGAUGCUAACAUUGGAGAUUAACUAAGAUUUUUAUUUGAUGUUGGACAUUUCGUGGAUGAAAGGAGGGGAAAAAACAAAGGGCAUUCGGAUUUGGAUGUCUGUGAUUCGAGGAGAUUUAUCUGAGACGUGAACUUGUUAUUCCUAAUGCAAGCAUUCGGUGAUAAGAAGGGAAACAUAAUGAUGGGAUUGAGAAAUUUCAACUUCACAUUGCAGCUGAUUGGUUGGAUCGAAGUAUUGGCUCCCAUUGUUUGUAUUGAUGAUAUUUUCGAGUUUCAAUUAAAAGAAAUCAUGGCAUGAUUAGUCGAGCUUUGGUCGUGGGUGUAGAACUUUCUUUUUUUUGAAAAAAAAAAUCCUUUAUUUAUCAUAAUCAAACAUAAAAGGAAAAUAGAAAACUUCCAAGAAAAACAACUCCCAAAAGAGCAGCAAAACAAAACAAAAUCCAGAAAAAUAGAGUGUUGCUAAGCUAACGGCAUCGUUAUUCCCUGAUGAAUAACGGUGCCCUUUUGACCACAACCUGCUAUUGAGGAUUUUUAGGCAACCGGAACUUGCACAAUAAAAGGACAUACAGCAUAUCUAAGAAAGUAUCUCAGACAACCAGAUAUUGGACACCAUUUCUUUCUUUCAAAAAGGACAUGAAACCAAUAACAAGGAAAUUUAAUUACCACAUGUGAAAUUUGUUUAAUCUUAAAUAACUAAUUAAAUGUAAACUCAAUUCUUUUACGAUAUAUCUGGGAUAAUAUUUUAACAUAAUAUUAACACAAUGAAAGCCACAUUAGCAAACACACAUAUUUUUACGGGACCUAAAAGGUAUUAAAGUUUUCCAUACCUAAAACUCAAUUCUUUCACUUCUUAAAUAAUUCAAAGACGCAUGAAUUUUUACAUUAAAAAAAAAUUAAGUCUUUCACCUGUGCAAAUGAAUGAAUUCCUCAAAAUCAUUGAUUUGGAACAUUAACUUUUAUUUUGGGCCAAACAGAACUCGGUUCACCAACCCCAAUUCUUUCAAAUUGUGGCUAUUCAUUUUUUCCCUCUUUCUCACUAAAACACACGAGUUUUUGAUUGAAAAAAUUAAAAGCAUCAACAUCGUUUUGCCUUGCCGACAUGUCUUAUAUACACAUCCAUAUCGUUAAUCACAUUUUGGUACUGGCUUACAUGUAUGAAAGUUUUAAUCUUGCUCUCGUCCCUUUUAAGUAAAAAAAAUUUUUGAAAUCCUUUGAAAAGUUGGGAAAUCCACCUUCUAAUUGCUUAUUUUGUCUUUUUUUUAUUCUUCUUGUUAUUUUGCAGUUUGAUUUUUGGCCCAACUAUGUUCUCUUUUUCAUUUGAUCUUUGCUUUUUUGAAAGUCCCACCGAAUGGAAUUGUUUUUUUUUUUUUUUGGUAAAGGUAAUAAUAUUAAUGAGGAGGACAAAUGUACAAAAGAUCGGAUCCAAACAAGCACUCUUAACAAAGGAGCAAGAGUGACGGGGAUCCGAUAAAAGCCCGAGGGCGCCAGCAAGAACACAAAAGCUAUGAAACGAACAAACAAGCCGUAACAACAGGAACCCGUAGCGUCCCCAUCCCUCAAGCCCUCAAAGCUGAAAGCGGAGAACGGAGGAGGAAGGCACCUGUAAGUACAAGAACAAGAGCAGACCGAAACACCAGCACCCUAAAGAGGAAUAGCUACAGAUGAAAAGAUCAUUGGGUGGAAUCCCCACCCCCUUUGCAGUCUUCUGUUCCUUGGAGAAGGAAGAACUUCCGUGAAUGUAAGUGCUUUGUCCUUAACCACCUUGAUUAGGUGAUUUUUAAGGGCAGGGAUUACCAAGGAUUCGCCCCCGAAGAUAAUCGCAUUCCUCUUCUUCCAAAUGAGAUGGCACAACGCACCGAAGGAGAAUCGAACUAUCCUGUGGUAAAAAUCCUUCCCCAUGAGGAAUUUCCUAGCCCAAGUGAGCGCCUCACUCCAACAUCUAUUCCUCCAUGGCAAGUUACAUCUGGCCGCCCAAAAAAAGGCCAAGGAGGCGGAGAUGCGACACCGGAAGAAUAGGUGUUCGAUUGAGUCCGGUUCUUCACUACAAAAAGCACAUAGAUUAAAAUCAAUUCGACCUUGAUUUAACAACCUCACCUGAGUGGGAAGACGGUUUCUAGAUAUAAGCCAUAGAAUAAACUGAUGGCGCGGGACUAUAUCAAUAUCCCAAAUCAAAGAAGCCCACUCCACCCGAUCUCUCUUGGUUCUAAUGACAUUCCAUGCAGAUGCAACCGAGAAGGAGGCUGAUGGAUCGCCACACCAAAUAAACUUAUCAUUAUAAGCCUCCAAAGUUGGUAAAGCUACACCCCAUCUGGUUAAUAUCCGAGAGAACGAGUCACCUAACGGGGUGUAUAAGUCAGCAACUACUGCAUUAUAAGGGAGCCGCAUAUUGUCCCUAAACACGGGCGGAACAAAUCCAUCAAGAGGGCCACAUGGAAGCCAGUAAUCAUGCCAUAAGGAUACCGAUAGGCCAUUACCAAUUUUCCACCUAAACAAAGUUCUGAAAUGCUUUCUAAGCUGGAGGAUUUUCUUCCACGCCCAGGAGCAAGUCGCAGGUUGAGAUGAAACCCAAAAAUUCUUCCUUGUCAAGAAAAUGGAAUGAAUCCACCGGCACCACAUCAAUUCCUUAUCCGAGAAGAGGAUCCAUAUGGAUUUGAGCAUAGAGGCUUUGUUGCAAUCUCUGAUAUUCCUAAUGCCAAGACCCCCUUCAAGUUUCGGAAGACAUACAUCCUCCCACGCUACUUUUGCUCCUCCACGGCCAAGAGCUGUUCCCUUCCAUAAAAAUUGCCUCAUAAUUCUCUCGAUGUCUGACAACACCGAAGCAGGAAGCAUAAAGACACUUGUCCAGAAUGAUUGAAUCGAGUAAAGAACCGACCGAAUCAGCUGCAGUCUCCCUGCAAAGGACAGGAAACGAUGCGCCCAGGAUUGAAUCCUAGCCGUAAUACGCUCCGUUAAUGCAAUACAAUCCCCCUUAUUCAAUCUGGUAGAUAUGAUAGGUGCCCCAAGAUAGCGAACAGGGAGUUUCCCUUCCUUAAAACCAAAUGCCGAGUGGAUUCUGUUUCGAAUAGAAGGGUCACCACCUGCAAUAAAAAUCUCGCUCUUGUUUUUGUUAGGAACCAAUCCACUCCAGGAUGAGAAUAUAUCUAGGCCUCUUUUCAGCAUGGAUACUGACGGCCAGUUAGCUUGAGAGAAAAGGAAAACAUCAUCAGCAAAGAAUAGAUGCAUUAGUUGGACUGGCUUACACCUCCAAUAAUACCUGAAUUCAUGAUUUGAAGUUUGAGACUCCAAUAAACCAGAAAACACUUCCAUCACUAGGGUGAAGAGAUAAGGUGACAUAGGGUCACCCUGUCUCAAACCACGUCCUCCCGAAAAAAAGCCAUGGAGAUCGCCAUUUAUAGAAAUGGAGUAUUUAGGAGUCCGAACACAAGCCAUGACUAACUUAAUGAAAUUCUCCGGGAAGUGGAAGGCUAGAAGAACAAGUUCAAGGAACUCCCAAUCUACCGUGUCAUAUGCCUUAUGGAAAUCAACCUUAAUCGCACAUUUAGGCAGGUAUGGGUGGAGAUGAAAUCCUGCAAACAAUUCCUGAGCCAAGAGGAUGUUAUCCCUAAUUCUCCUUCCUUUAACAAACGCAUUCUGAGAUGGACUUAUCAAUACAUUUAAAACCGCCGCUAUACGAUUGGCCAAGAUCUUGGUAAUCACCUUAUAUAUAGUGUUACAACAAGCAAUCGGCCUAAAAUCCGACACAGCACUGGCGUUAGGAACUUUAGGGAUGAGAGCAAGGAUGGUUGCAUUUACCUGUCUCAGCAGCCGGCCGGUGCGGAAGAAGUCGUGAACCGCCUCCAGAACCCAAUGGACCAACAAUCUCCCAGUUAGACUUGAAGAAUUCAGCCGAGAAUCCAUCAGGUCCAGGGGCCUUACCUUUGGCUAAUGAGAAUAUCGUGGACUUGAUCUCCGCAUCAGAAACCGGAUUAGAGAGAAGGCACAUCUGAUCAGCAGCUAGAGGUUGACGAAUAACCCGCUCCACCUCUUGGACGAACGGCCUGAUUAACGCAUCACGGGGAGAGUACAACGAAGAGAAGUAGCUAAUGAACACCUGCGGAACCAACACCUGCAGAGAGUACACCGAAUGGAAUUGUUUAACAACACUAGAGCGUUUAAUUUAAAGUAUAUUUUUGCCGCAAAACUGGAUGCACCGGUUAACAGGUUUUGGGGGAAAAUCUUGUGGUGAAGAGUGCUUCGUCACAUUUGGGAGAGUGACGGAGCCAUUCUCUUCUCAUUUCCCUAGAAAAAUAAAGAAGGAUUGUACUUAUAAGUAUACUCUCAUCUAAAAAGACCAAAACUAUCACAACCUCAAAAAGCAAUUGACAACCGACCAACUGAAACCCUCAGUGAUGGACAUAAGUCGAGAUCUUCCCCUUUAGGAACUAUGGCUUGUAGUGUGCACCUAAAUUCGGUGUCUUCAACAUCGUUGCCAUACGGAGACAAAGAUAACAUAUUGAAUCACCAUAGAUCGAACGUCUCUAAUAAAUUCUCAGAUCUAGAUUUAGGUCGAGAGAGAAUAGCUCCAUAAUUUAGAUCUAUACCUAAAUCAGGAGAGAUGAGCUUUCGCCAAAUCUAGGAGAAGUCAUAGAACCACGUUCCAAGCAUCCUACUGGCUAGACUGGUGACGACAUACUCAAAAUUUUUUUGCAUCUACAAACAAAUUUAGUCACCAUGAUGAGAGGGAAAAAGUAACAACAAGCGAAAGAAGAUGCCAAACGAGGCGAAAAAAACUCACCGAUUAGAUCGAGAGAGAGAAAAAAAUCAAGGCAUAUAAAAGAAAAACAAACUCUUCAACUUCAGAAAGCCUACAGGUGAAGUUUUUUUAAGCGAGUCUUUUUGGGAGAGAGGGAGAGAGAGAUUUAUCGAAAGAAAGGUUAGGAUUUUCAUCGAGAUGUGGAGUUAGAGAAUUACCAAAAAAGUUUUAAAAUUUAUUGUACACGUCCCAAUUCAUUCUUAAUUUUCAAUUUCAAUUGAUUUAGUUGUAAACCCUUUUAUGAUUUGUCGACAUAAUCAUUCCAAUCAAUUUAGGUUGAAAAUCACUGGCGUGGAUACCAACCAUCCUACGUGACAUAGCAUUGAGCAUCUCACAUGGCAUGGCCAAAAUUGACGUUGACACUUCUUCUUUUUUCAAAAUUUAUUUUUUAUACUUUUUAUUUUCUCUCUUUUUUUUAUUUUUUUUUUCAUUCUCCUUUUGACGGUCAGCUAAUGAGCGAGGGCUAGGAAGGUUGACUCUCACUAGAUCCAACAAAGCUAAUGAGUACAAGACUCGUCAGCAUGUGGCAAAGUUCAACCUCGCAAGCAAGAUCUGGUGAGGGAGAACCUUGCCCAAGGCCGGCAAAUCAACCCUCGCUUAUGGCUAGUCCACACCAGCAAAGGAAGAAGAAAAAAAGAAAAAAAAAAUAUUUAGAAAAACUAUCCACAUCAACUUUGGCCUUUUGCAACUUUUUCAAUAGGUAAACUAUUAAAUGGAAAGCUAAUGGAUUACCGAUUCAAAGCUUAGCAUGAACUCUUCUAAGCCCAUAUUAACUACAACUUUGAGGUUUCAAUUUAACCAGUUUAACAUGCAAAUCAAUUCAAUUAUGAGUUGCCAUUUAUUUAUUAUGAGCCAAUUAGAAACCCAAGUAAAUUGUGGGGAAAAUACAUUACUUCUACAAACUAGAGAUUCAUAGAUACGGAAAAUAGAUUGUGUUAAAUCAAUCUAACAUCAUUUCAAUACAUUUUCUCUUUAUUUUUAAAAUUACUUACCUGACAAUCUUAGUCUAUAUUAAUCAUAAUCCACUAAUAUGUAAUAGAUGACUAUGUGAGUACGCAAUGAGUGAUGUAACACUCAACAAAUUGAAACAUAAAUAAAUUGCUUUAAAUAGGGCAAACCUCAAUGCAUUAAACAAAGCAUAAUUUCAUUAUGAUUAAUUUCCCAAUAUCUGCAAGAUGUUAAUUAAAAAAUGCAUGCCCUAAACAUGAUUUCCAAAUACAAUGACAUUUAAUUCCUUUUGGCUUUUUCUUGUUUAACAAAAGAUUAAACUCUAAGCAAUGCAUGAGAUACAAUUUAAUUAUAUAUGCUUACGUGAUGCUAAUCUAACUAAUGACAUGUGAAAUGAUUAUCUAGAUGCAAUCUAUAUGUAACCUAAUUCUAAAAUAGUAUGCAUACUUGCCUCCUCAAUGGGUUCUAAUCACAGCAACAUGAGCACAAUCAACCAAUAAUGGACUUAGGUUCUAAUCACUAUUAAAGAUACUUUCAUGUAUAUUGACCGUUAAUAAUCCCAAAUUAAUAUAUCUAUGACAAAUUUACUUUUCAUUAAUUUCUGUUAACUAAAAUCAAGCUCACUAAUGGACUUAGGUGGCGAAUGGAAGCUGUCGAUCUCUCCAGCCUUUGGUGUGUAAUGCAAUUUUUAACGAGUCUAGGCUAUAAUUAAUUAAUCGUUUCAUGCAUCUCUGUAUCCCGUAAGGUUACUAUAAGUAUGGUAGAAGAAAGGUAGCCCUUUUUUUAGCUCUUUUGCAGCUUGAUCGAAGAGAUUAUAAUUAUUUUAACAUCGCAAUUCAAGUCAAACACCCUAAAGUCACUUCCCCGGUUUAAAAGAAAAGGCACAUAUAAAAAUGAAGAUGUUACGAUCAAUGCAUACGUGCCUAAAUUGACCUCGAAGUCGCUGUAUGAUAAAAGAUACUUUGAGAUCAUCCUUGUAGUAGACCCGUUUGGUUCGGCUUUUGGGGAAUGCAUUUGCCAAAAUGCAAAUACCUUUGGCUAAAUGGGGUUUUCCGAAAUGCAAAUACCGUUUGGUAAAAUUUGCAUUAAAAUACAACUUUGACCAAAAUACCGUUUGGUAAAAUUUGUACUUGUAAAUAACUUUUAUUAAAUUAAAAAAACAAAAAAAAUUCUAUUUUCUUUUUUGAAGUCUGGCCACCGGACCGCCGGAUCUGGCGGCCGAACCACCGAAUCUAGCGGCCGGAUGGCCGGAUCUGGCUGCCUGGGUCGCGCGACCCCAGGCGGCCGUCACCUGGGGUCGCCCGACCCCGGCAACCGUCGCCUGAGGUCGCGCGACCUCAAGCGGCCGCCUGGGUCGUGCGAUUUAGGCAACAGCCGCCUGGUUCACGCGACCCAGGCAUCGUGUGAGGUCCGGCAGCAGUCGCCGAGGUCGGGGGACCCUUGGCCAGCGGUCGCCGAUGCAUUGCCGGCACGCGCGACCCCUUGGCCGGCGGUCGUUCUUCUCUCCGGUGAAGAUGAACAGUAGAAGUUGCAUUCCGAAAAUGCAACUUCCCAAUGGACCUCUCCCCCUCCAUUCCCCUAAAGCCCCUUCAAGCCCAUUGGAGAUGCAAUUGCAUCUCCCCAAAGUCCCCCAAAGUCCCCCAAAUAUUGAACCAAACACCACCCGCUUUUGCCCAAACCCCUUUAGAGGCCAAAAGCCCAUUCUAAAUGCCGAACCAAACGGGGCCGUCUUCACGUACAAACAGGCUACCCCAAUACCCAUUUAAUACGAGAGAUUUCUAGGCGUUAGCGGAGUGUCGCGUCGCUCUCCACCAACCAAUCGCAUCGAACCAAGUACCACAUUAUUCAUUAUUUCAACUAGGAGAAAAGUAUCUUCGUCAAUAUUUUUGUAUUGAGGAAUUAGUUAGAUGGAUGAGUGACGUGAUAUCAUAAGAGCCCACAGAUACUCUCUCUUUCAAUUAAUCAUUGUCAACUCAUGGGAAUAGGUUAGUAUAACGUCACUAGACAUCAAAAUCAUGAAUUGGUCAUAAAGACUAAAACAGGCCUCAGCAUUUUGCCCAAACAAAAGAUGUCGCAUUCUCUUUGGUUUGAAAAGGAUUUGCAUUGCCAAGUCUUUACGAAAGCGCUUCCCUCGAAGCAUGUGCGAUGACUAAAACCACCACAAGGACGAAAAAUCGACAACUUAAGCAAAGCAUAAAUCGAUGGAUUCAUUGCCUUUGAAAUGCUACCAUGUUCAGAAAGCAGUGGGCCUGUUUUUUGCAAUUAGCAUGAGCGACCGAGCUGAUUACUCUGUCAGCUACUGUCUAUCAAGGCCAUGCAAAGUCAAACCUUCAGUGACAGAAGGAUCCUUGCAUGGGCCGUCUAGGGAAAGUACUAAGACGGCCACGCAGGAACACGAACCUGUAAGGGAAUUCUAGUUGAGCUGCUCGCCCAAACUUGACCCGUCUGUCGCUUUCGUCGAAGCGCUACACUAUGACCAGACGGAACAUAUCUGGUUGGCAAUCUACACCAUGUCCAUUUCAUCUGUUUUGGGCCAUUGGCAUUUAAUCUUUGUCAACAGAGGACUAAGCCGGCUACGCUUUGAAGAACCGAAUUCGUCCCAGAUUGCUUCUACAUCAACAUGAAGUUCGGUGAAGACGAUCGAAUGAGCUUAAAGAUUGGGAAACUACCAAGCAAGGACCAUUUCUGGGGACAAAUGUCGCUUAAGUAUUGCACUAUGUUAGAGGUUUCUCCAUUCAAGGUUAUUAAAAAAACAGCAUGGGUGUCGCAUAUGGUUUCUAUUCUGAAGUCUUGGGUUAGUUUGCGCUUGUCCUGAAACUAUUUCAGGUCAACGCAAGUAAUAAGGCCUCGAUCAAAGCUCUGCCUUUGUGUACUUUCUAAGGCUAUCAUCCCUUUGCAAAAAUAUCAGAACGGAGGAAAAAUAAGCAAGAAAAAUCACUUUUUGAUUAGCCUUUUUCUUUUCAUUUUUUAGAAUAACAUGGUGUAUACGUGAACUUGCACUAGACUAAUCUCCACGCGAAUUGCCCAUCCAUGCGCAUCGCAUUUUGAUGAUAAUUUAUGUAAUAUACCAUAGGUUAUUGGUGUUGGAAGAAAGUCGGCGGAAGAAACGGCUAACCUUUUCGAUGUGCAAUAAACAAAUUACCCAGGAACGAACGAUAAAUGACGAGUGAACGACGGACGAUACAACUUCACGAUGGUCCAAAUACAACCACAAGGAAAGUAUUCACAUUCCAUAACGUUAAUGCCGAUUAUCUUCUCAAAACAAUAAUGGAAUUGCCUUUUAUUCGUUCUUCUUUGUUGGAGUGAGAGAGAAAUAAGAAGCAUUCUUUUCUGAAACAUUAUAUUGUCAGCAGUGAGUUAUCUUCUGAAGUCAUCAUAUUUAUACUUUCUUUAAAAGAUAACUACUCAUAUCCCUUUAAAGAGUGCAUUCUCAAUCACAUCACAUCAAGAUAAAUAGGUGCCUUAAUCGCACCCCAUCAUGAACAUAACAUAGAAAUAUAACAUCUCCCACUUAGACAUGAUAGGCUUGAUGGUGCUCUAUCAAGAAUAUAAGGCAUUCAAUAUUCAUAUACUUCAGAAACAAUUCAUACUAGUAAGAAAGCUGUAUAAUUAGUAAAUACACGUACACUUGAGAGCUCAAAUUCUGCUCCUAUUAAGGAUGACAUAAUGGCUAUAACCCCACAAAGAAAUAAACAAUUGAUGUCUCACAAUACAUUAAAUAUAUUUUGCUACAUCAAUCCAAGUAUGCAUAUCCCCUAAAGGCUAUACUUGACUAUUCUCAUAAUAUAAUAUAUUUACAAUUAUAUCCAAAAUCACAAAAGCAUUAUAAUUGGUCGACUAGUAUGUACAUGUGAUAAAUGUAAAACAACAAUAGUCAUCAUUCGCACUCAAGUCUCUCUCCAUUGUAAAACAACUGUUUUUUAGACAUGUCCCAUAAAACCAUAUAUAUUCAUGAUGGCCGGUAACAUGCUAAAGUAGCAAUAUUGAUUUUUUUACUUCAAAAAUAUAGUUAGAAGCAACAUAAGGCACAAAAUGAGAUAAAUUAUAAAUUUCUUCAAGGGCUUACACAAUGGGCAAAUAAGGAUCAUUUCACUCAUCUUCUCUUGUCGGUAGUACAAUGCACAUGUAGUAUUAAUUAUAUGCUAUAGUGAAUUUCUCUUUUUAUAAGAGCUUAUCUCAUUUAUUAAACACAUCCACUAUAUAGAUUUUAGCUUAAACAUAAUCACGUGUUUCUCACAUACUUAUAUUUAGCUCGAGUGCUAUAUAAUCUUGCUUUCUAUAGCGCCCAAUUAAAUACUCACAUCUGAUAGUCUGCAAGCAUACACGAUUGUAAGACUAUUAUGUUCGGCCUUAUUAGGGGUGAGCGGUUUCCGGUUCCGAUUCAGUUUCGUCUGGAACCUGAAACUUACCUUCGGGUACAGGUUCCUCAUUUUUUGGAACCUAGAACCUACCCAUUAGAACCAAGAACCUGGAACCUAUCCUGUCAUAAGUUCCAUGGUCGGUUCCAGAUUCCAACUGGUUCUUUUUAUUUAUUUUUUUAUUUUUUCAUUUUCAAAUUUGAAUUAUAACGAAGAAGGAAAGAGACAAACCAAAACUUCUAUAUCCAUAAAAGAACAUUAGACUAUUAAUUCAAAACCCAACAACAUUUUGUUGAGAUUCAAAGGUAACAUAGCUUUCAAAGAACGCAUUGGUGUGAUGAAUGUGUAGUGACACAUAUUAGACUCAUACAAACUAACUAAUAAGUAAACAGGUCGAGUAUAUGCACAUAAUCACAUAUAAUGGCCAUUGGCCUGUUCACCUAUAGCAAUUUGUAGUGUUGUCCAUCUUGACCAACGAGAUGCACAUAAUAGAAACCAAACACAAAAAAGAAAAAAUAACCUCAAUAAAUUACCACGUAACAAGCAAAUCCAAAGUUUAGGCCUCAAAAGACACCAUGGAAGAUGAGUGAAAUUACAAACAAACAGACAAAUUGGAUAGCCAUGAAAAAAAUUCUUACCAUCUCUUUUGUGAAAAUCACCACCCUGCAAAAAGCAAAGAAAAAGAAAAAUAACAAAAAAUCAAUGAAAAAUCCAAUAGUGAGAAAGAUAAUAUUCAAAGAAAUGUAUGUGAAAUGUUAACCAAAGAAAAAAUAAAGGGUGGACAACAUGGUAAGUACAACCUUAAAACUAUAUCACAAGAAAAGCAGUUGUGAGCAUCAGCCCUGUAUCCUAGAGCAUAAAGAAAGGUAACUGACCAAAAGAACCUAUUUAGCCUUACACAACCAUAAAGGCCAAACUUUCUCUAGAACAAAGCUCUUACAUGAACAAACAAACAUACCUGAGCCAUAGAGCCUCUAAUGAUCCGAUGGAAAAACGGCCCCUUCAAGUGCAGUGGCCUCCCUAUCUUCUAGCCAAUUCCCUUCUCUCCAGUAUAGAGUGCUCGGAAAUUUUCUGCCAUCUUUGGAGCAACUUCAAGAAAAAGCCGUUGAACCAGAUUCGCAAGAAAGCUAGUCAACAUAUAAGGAUUGUGAAGAAUCCGCAGCAAAUUUCAAAAGAAAUGCAAUAACUGAGGACAUACAGAUGUUAAAAAAAUUUAAGAUUCGCAUUCACAAAUGAGUACCUCAAAAACCAUUCUUUCAACAGGGUCCCCAUCAAUGGAGACAUCCAUAAAAACCAAAGGAUCAGUCUUCUUCUUCAUCUACUCCAACUCUAAUUUGAUAAGAGAAAAGAGAAUAGAAGACAUGCCAUUAUCCUCUCAAGGGUUCGAUACAUUUACUGUACCAAAAUCUUUUAAGUAAAUAAUGCGACUCAAACGCUUCUGUCUAACCAAACUGCAUGCUAGAUAUAAAUAAAUAAAAAACGUGUGAAGGACAAAAAAUAACAGCAUAAAAAUCAAAAGAAAUGCGAACAAAUUGUUAAUCAAGUCAGUUGCCAAUUCUCAAGUAGUUAUGGCUCGAUUACAGGAUGUAACAUCAGCUACAAGGGCCCCUUCCCUAAAAAAAUGAAAAUUCAGUACAAGACGAGCAAAUCUGCUUGCUCAUGACUUAAAAACACAUCACAUCCUUUGAUUUGAGGAAGGGGCAGUGGAUCAACAGCUCACCUCGUAAAUGUGCUUUAUUAAAAAACAAAUAUAAUCAAAUCGCAUAAGUAUUACAAGUCCCAUCAAAUCUACUUGACAUGAACUAGACAAGUUAUGCCUCAUCACAAAACAAAAAUCACAAAGCAAAAUGCAAAUGGCGACCGCCAACCUAAAGAACCAACUCAAGUGCCCAUGAAUCAUAAUCUCCAGGUUAAACCAUCCAAAUUAGCUUCUUCUUACAAGCAUAUCGAGACAAACACUUGGGACGAGCGUCGUCAACUACUGAGCAAUGUCAAGGGCCAACUAGGCCAGCAGUGUUGGGGGUGGCUGGCCGAGUGGCGUCGGGGGGGAGCAGCGUCCAGGGCAACCGAGCGAGCAUCAUUGGGGGCGACUACACAAGCGGCGAGCGGCCUCCACUGAGGGAACAAGCGGCAUCCAUUGGCGGCAUUGACGGCAAGUGGCUAAGCAGCGAGGCAAGCGAGGGGUGACGGCAUCGAGGGAGCAAGAGGCAAGGGUGAGACAAGCGUAGGGCGACUGGCAUUCGGCGGCGGCAUCAAGGGUUAGGGCGUCUGGCGGUGGCAUCGAGGGCGAGCAAUGUUCGGCGACGACGUUGAGGGUGAGCGGCAUCAGCGACGGGUAGAGGCAAAAACAGGAAAGAUUCAGAGAACUGUGAUCGUGAAAGUGUGAAUGAAGGGUAAUUGAUUUGGGGCAUUUCCUAUUUGGGGCUUCUUUUGGAGCCUUAACCGGUUCCGAAACCGGAAUCGCUGAUUCCUAAUAAAAAGGAACCGAAACGAACUGGACCCUCCGGUUCCCAGUUCUACUUGGGAACCGUGCUCACCCCUAACGCAUGGGGCUCAUGGCACUCAUGCGUUGCGGCUUCUGCUGCAUGUGUGGGCGUGUCCAAUGUUGUCCAACGGCAUGCCACCCACCGUUGUGAUCAUCUCGAUGAGUACUUUCACCUCAUAUAUUCAAAAAUUGAUUUUGGUCAAGAAAAAUAUUCCGAAAAAAUGACCAAAAUUGUACGGUGGUCCACGACCCCCAACUCGUUCUUCACUUCAGUUCGUUUUUUUUAAGAUUCAUAUUGCAAUUUCCCAGCAAUGAACAUCCAGACAAUGUGAAGUUCAUCCUCUUGAUACCAAUAUCAAACAACAAGCGGGAAAAUUCAAUGCAAAAUAAGGCAAAGAUCAUAACAUAAGCUAUAAUACCAAUGUUGUAAGAAAGUCAACGGAAAAAAUGACUAACAUUUUCGAUGUGCAAUGAACAAAUUACCUAGGAAUGAACGAUGAAUCACAAGUGAACGAUGGACAAUACGACUUCACGAUGGUUCAAAUACAAUCACUAGGAAAGUAUUCACAUUCCACAACGUUAAUGAUAAUUGUUUUCUCAAAGCAAUAAUAGAAUUGCCUUUUGUUUGUUCUUCUUUGAUGGAGUGAGAGAGAGAAAUGAGGAGCAUUCUUUUCUGAAACGUUCUAUUGUCAUCAAUCAAUUAUCUUCUAAAGUCAUCCCAUUUAUACUUUUUUUUUUAAAAUAACUACUCAUACCCCCCAUUCUUUUUGUCAGUCUUACGCUAUUUCUACUCUAACUCUCACUCUUAGACUUUUGCCCUACCUCUUUGUAAGGCGUGGGAGUCGAAACCCACUUUUAAAACUACAUCAUCCCCACCCCCAAUUCCCCCUGAAAAUGUGGAGAUUCGAACCCUCCACCUCCCCCUUCCAUGGUGGAAUGGUGGCCACUUGGCAAACCCCAGUGGUUCUCAUACCCCUUCAAAUGGUGCAUUUUCAAUCAUAUCAUAGUAAGAUGAAUGGAUGCCUUAAUUGCACCUCGUCAUGGAUGCAUUAUAGAAAUAUCACAAUUUUAUUAUAAAGAGAAGAAACUCUAGAACAUUUGGUGGGGACACUCAUGAGAAAGAAAAAAGGCAGCUUAUUUUUAUGGUGAUGGCAUGCUUUCAUCUACUUAUAUAUACUCUUCUUUUUAUUUUCUUCUUUUUUUAGUAUGGAAAAGAGUUACAACUGGAUACGAAAAUUGAACAUUAUAAAUCUACUAUCCUUAUUUUAUCACCUAAUAAAAUAUAAAGUAACCCUAUGGAAGAUAAUAAAAAGAAACUAGUAUCCAAGUGCUUCUCUAUAUCAAAAUUAGCAAGCCAAUCAACAGAGCACUAUCAUGUUGAAUUUUAAACUCAAAGUAAGAGUGAAUAAGUCUUCUUAUAUUUUUUAAGCAAAGCAAGGCCAACAUUGUCAAUUAUGAACUUUAGACUAACAAGAUCAAUGACGAUUUUAGAGUCAAUCUCAAUAAUGAUCUUAUGAAAAUCAAGUUAUUUUGCAAAGUUGCGUCCCAACCACAAAGCCUAAAGUUCUUAUGUCAACGAACAUAUUCUUACAAAUAUGGAAAAACUACUAACCUAGUCACCCCCUUUGUUUCUAAAUAAAUUCUCUACACUAGUAAGUCCUAGGUUACCUUUAGAGACCCCAUUGGUAUUCGAUUCAAUCUGCCCGAAAGGUGGAGGAUCCCAUCUAACUUAAAUUGAAGAAAUGCAAAAUUUGCUUAAACUUUUUUAAAU
rnacentral:lncRNA from 1 species